rnacentral:lncRNA from 1 species
UUUUUUUUUUUUUUUUUAUCUUUUGAAGUUAACAAAGUUCUUGGACGUAAAAAUGGAAAAUUUAGCUGUAAACUCUACGAGGAUUUAGAAAACAAAUUUAUUUAUUUAUUUUUGUUGGAGGGUACCGCAAUUAUAAAAAAAAAAAGAUAAUCUCAUCAUGUCCAAACAAAUUAGAAGUUUUUAGAUGGUCUACUUGGGCCGAGAUUUUUUAAUGUUGGACACCUAUGAUGUUUUGCUCUUCAACCAUUGGGUGGGAGCAAACUAACAUAUGGCAAAAACAUUUCAAAAUCAAUUGCGUUAGCUAUAUAUAUAUUAUUCAAGUACACAAUAGAGACUAAUCAACAGGACUACAUGGAAAAACAGAAUGAAGUAAAACACAGAUAAAGCAAAACAAGUACAGAAGAUCGGCCACAAAGUCAUAAUUUUCCCUUAACCAUGCAUUAAGGUCCUCUUGCUCUAUGAUGCAGUGUCAGACACUUUCAACAAGUCUGAUACUCGUACUGCCAGACUCUUCCUUGUAGAAGGUGAAACACCAUCCCUGCCAAUAAUGGAUUCCAGCACUGUUUCAGAUAGUGGUUUGUUCUCCACAACUCCACCGCUAACCUCGGGUAUGGAAUCAUGCUUGGAGAAGCUAAUUCUUAGUGAUCCAAGGGGUGAUUGGGAGUACAGGAUGGAGUCACCAGGUUGGAAGGACUCGUUCUUGAAAAUAUCAUGGAACUUUUCAAUAGCUUUAUCCUCUGCAUCAGUGUAACUUCCAAUUACUUUCAAGUAGUCGGCACAAUCUUCACUUACUUUUUUCGAGAAUUCCUCACCCGUCAAGGGCUUCAAAAAUGUCAACCUAAUGAACUUCUCAAAGGGACCUAAAAACAGCAAGAAAACAAACAAAAAAGUCAUAGUCAAUUACUCAAUUUCACGGCGUUCUUGCCGUGAUUGGGCCUCUCCUUACUCAUCUAAUAAAAGAGAAAAAAGAAAAUAAAGUUGUGUUGCCUGUAAUGAUGUCCCUGAAGAACUCAACAGAUUCCAUCAACUCCUCAGCAGUCUUGCCCUUCCACUUGGCGGCGAGUGACGGAAUUGCAGUCUCCUCCAAAUACACUCCAGGAAGUGAGAACUUGAUAAACUUGCCUUGAAUUUCCAAUCCUCUAUACCCCGCGCCUCCAAGAAAAAAGGUACCGUUGGAGCCAGAAGGCUUCAUGGAUGAAGGGAACACGUGGCCCUCAACUUCAACUUCGCUAACGGAGAAUGCCGGCGCCAUUAGUAUCAUACAACCUCUACUCUGGAAAUCUGGUAGUAAUUUGUAGAGGUGGAAGAAUAGGCGGUUUUGCUGAAGAAGGUAGGAAAGAAUAGAGUAAAAUUUUCUGAACGGAUGGUUGGUUUUGCUUCUUACAUGGAACUGUAAGAUGGUUAUUUAUAGAGGAAGACCCUCAACUACCAACUUCUCUAAAAAAAGGAAUCAGAGAUUCAGAAUCUAAGUCUUCCCUAGAAAUAUAUAAUAUUAAGGAAAUUCAUUCCAGCUCGUAGCUUCAAAGUUAAUGUUUGCCGAAGAAAAGAACUAGAAUUCAAACAAACUACCAGUUUCCUGAAACAUGGAUUUCAACAAUUCUGAAUUGAUAUUUGUUGCUUGUCGUACACCUUCUGCAAGCGGCAGAACAAGUUAUCCUUGUAAUUAUCUCAGUGGACCUUCUCAAAUGGGGUCUUAUCACGCGUUUAGAAUACAUAUUUUUCAACUUUUCAUCUCCAUUUACAAUCUUGACAUGGUUAAAACACUCCCUCGAAUGAGCCCUCAACCAUACAUGAGAUAAAUUACAGUUGAUUAAACAAUAUCAGUAGACUAGAAGAAGCAUGCUGAUAUCUCGCACUCCAUCAUACAAGAAACUAUAAUUAGGGGUGUUAAAACUUUGGAAAAAGAAAAAAGAAAAAUCGUCCAAUCCAAUCUAGAUGACUGGCGAUACUGCAAGAACAGGAAUUUUCCUGUCAGAGCAAAUUUGCUGAAAUAUCUCAUAGUACGCUUCAUCAGCGAACGGUUUAAUUUCACUUUAACUUAGUCAGACCCACAAUAUAAAAAGCAAAAUCAUGAUUAAUCCCUUGGGUCGAAAGAUGAACCAAACUUUUCGAUACCGUAACCGAAUUCAGUUUGGUAAGAGUUAGUUCGAACUUGAUUUGUCAAUUAAUUAAAUCAACCUUGAAUAGCAUUUUAUAUUCGAUAAUAGUUAAAAUAGAUGAAAAGCACGUUUAAACUCUAUUCGGCAAAUAAACAAGUCAAACAUGAUUAAAAUUUCAAACUCAUUAAAAUAAUCAAAUAAAAUUGAAUAUUAGGAUGUCCGGCUUUAUUAGUCUUGUUUACGCCCCUACUCAUCCCCUCUCCUCUAGUCUCACGGGAAUUCUAGUUCCACCAUGCUCAGUUUACGGCAGAAAUAGUUUCCAAUCAUCAACCGAUGGUUGCCUGGCAAAGUUUGUGAACCCAAAUUUCCACGAGACUCCAAAAAAAAAAAAAAAUUCUGCUAGAGCUGAGAAAAUUCUAAAAUUAUUAUGAAAAUUAAAUUUAAUUCCACAUAGUUUAAGAAUCAUUGGAAUGGAGACAGGCCAAGAUGCUAGAUUUUCAUUCUGGGGACUGAUUCUACUAUAUCCCAAGUCAACCUUUAAACUGGUCAAGUCAAGCACCAUUAAAAAGCAAAAUGAAUUUCAUGGAUUGAAGCAUUCUAAGUCCACAAUGUAAUAAAAACAAGCAGAUACAACCUUAUAAUUACGAAUUUUUAAGAUUACAUAUACUAUCCUAUCGUUGCUAUUUCACACAUUUGGAACUGACUUCUACAAGUUUCAUACUUCGGACAACUAUCAAAGCAUUUGUACGAAGAAGUUAUAAGCCUAAAACAAUCUAUGCCAAAGCUGAAAAAUGCCUUCCAAAACUAGAUUUAAAAAACGCGUUCAGCCAGUCGCCUUUUUUACUAUAUAUAUCAAGUUGAGGACAUCUCCAAUCACUUGCCGGUAGACGAUAGUUAUAUAAACUGAUGGAAACAGGUUUAUCAUCUCCAAUCACCUUUUUUUUUUUUUGGUUCGAAGGAACUGCCCACUGUUUGCAAGAAGAACGAAGAACAGAAUCUUUCUUUACUUCUGCACGUAUUAUAUUAUCAUCACUAGGAUAAAUUCAGAACCAAUCCAGUAAUAAGAAAUAUUGAAGGUCUAAAAUUCCGAUCAAAGUGCCAAUUCCCAGUUGACUUUUUGAAGCCCAUUUCUUUGAAACCCCGCUAUAAUAAAAAUGGAAAAUACGAGAUGGGUCCAAAUUAAAGAGAAAGUGACUUGUGACUGUGAAGCAAUAAGGUAUACUUAAUCUGGCUCCAAUGCAUAGAUCUUAGUCAGGUAAUACGGUUAAAAUACUUUCGAGGACUUGGACCUAUAACUUGGUUGAACAAGUCAUGAUGAUCCAAGCCAAAUGCCAAGACAAGAAGAUGGCGUAGCUUACCCCUCACAAUAAGGUUGGAUUUCCACUAAAAAAUGACUAAGUAAACACACGAUUAAGUCUGAAAUAGACAUUUUCAGCAUUGAGCUUCUUUCUUUUAAUUAGUCUUAUCCAUCUUUGCUGCGUACAGUGUGUUUUGUCCGUCGGGUGAAUUGCAUGGGAUAACGGGCCUCAUAAGUUAAAAAAUUGUUCAGUUCAAACUGGUUCGUGUAAUUAAUACUAUAUUUAAUAUAAAUUCGUACAAUUUUCGUAUAGUUUUGAAUUUUAUAUAAAUUUAAAUAUAUAAGUUGACAAAUUCAAAUUUAUGCAUAAUUUAUAUGAUUUUACAGCCAAAAAAUGUAAGAAUUAUAUCAAAUGGUUUUGAACUGGACAACGCCCAAUUUGUGAGGCCCGUGAUCCACAUCAAAAAGGACAACUUUCAAGGUUCAUCACUUCUAAGUGUUAGAUGUUAAUCUGAUUAUGUUUUGACCUUUUGAAGUUGGUCAACUUUCUGAUACAUAUGAAGUGGAAAAGCAGAUAAGUCUCAACUCGGUGAGGAGUAAGAAAACAAAUUUAUAUUCUUUUUUGGGGAACCCAAUGAGAAAUUAGAUAAUCUGAUACCAUAUUAGAAGUUCUUAAUGUACUACCUAAAAUGAGUUUUAUUUGAAUGGUUAUAUCAUGAAGUUUGUGACUGAUAGCAUCCAACCAGAGAACAGAAAUAAACGGAGCUCUUAAACAAACCGCGCUGUUCGCAACUGUGGCUCGACUUGGUUCAUAUAAGCUCGAGUUCAGCUUGUUCAUUUAAAUAAAUGAAUUGAGUUUGAGCACAAAAUUAGGCUAGUUCAAUAAAUGAUUUGAGCUCAGCUUCGACUUCCAAACAGUUUGUUUAAGCUCCUUACAUAUUUGUUGGUCUUGAUUGUUUAAAAUUCGCGGUGUAAAAAGCAUUUGGGCACAUUCCUAUAUUGACGAUUUUUUUUAGGUUGAUUAAAUUGGUUAAAAUUAUUGAGAUAAAUUUUAUAUAAAAUAUUCAUGCUCAUUUUUCAAGCUCAAGCCUGCAGAAGCUCAAUUUGUUUGUAUUAAGUGAGUCAAACUUAAGGAAUUUGGGAUUUUCUUAAUGAGUCGAAUUCAAACACAAUCCUAGUGAGUUAGAUAACUAAGAUGAGCUUGAGUUAGGCUUGUUUAUUUAAUAGGCCAAACUUGAAUGCCAAAUAUUCAACUUAUCUCAACUCAUUUAGUCAUUUAUAGCUCUAGAAAUAAACAGAUCAAAAUUGAAGACUUCUCAAAUAAGUAGUUUAGAAGUAGACACAAAAGAAAUGCGCCUCUUGAGCAGUAGUGUGGGUGCAAGUGCAACCCCACAUCAGGAUGCAACAUUUGAAAUCAGUUGCUUUAACUAUUAGUCAAGCGUAGUACAUAUUAGAAGCUGAUCAAAAGAAAAACUUGCAGUAAAGUAAAACAGUCAUAAAGCCAAAUGUAGAGAAUAUGGCCACAAACUCAUAAUUUUCUCAUAACAAUGCAUUCAUUAAGGUACUUUUGCGCCAUUUUCUCAUGGGGACUUCUACACGAUCAACCCUCUUUUAUGCUGCUGCUUCCAUAGCAAUAACCUCGCCGGCCUCAAGUUUCUUUCUAACAGCUUUGGCCUUUGGGCUUGUUCUCUACGACUCCAUUGCUAACCUCAGGCACUGAAUUAUGCUCGGAGAAGCUAAUGGUUAAUGAUCCAAGGGGUGACUAGGAGAAUAGGAUGGACUCACCAGGUUGGAAGGAUUCAUUCUUGAAAAUGUGAAUGAACUUAAUAGCUUUAUCCUCUGCAUCACCAUGACUUCCAGUUGAUUUCAUUUCAGGUAAGCAGUGCAAUUUUCAGCGACCUUCUUUGAGAAUUCCUGACCAGUCAAAGGCUGGAGUAGGUUCAACCUCGUGAACUUCUCGGAGGGACCUAAAAAUAGCAAAGAACAAAAUAGUUGCAAUCAAUUUCGCGGCCUCUUAGAUUGAGAAGGAGAAGGUAUUGCAUGCUCCAUGUGCAUCAUUUAAGAUGCCAUUUGAUGCAUUAGUAUCAAUCACUAACCACCAAGUAAUAAAUGUGGAAGACAAGGUAUAACUCGCUACCAUUAUUUAGUGAUCAAUAAUUGACAAUAAUAUGUCAUGUAAUCGUGCCAAAUUGUGCAUAUGGAGCAUCCAAUAUUUUCUUCUCAUUAAGGAUGCUGUUUUGUCACUUCGUGCUAGGGGCGCAGCCACACGGUUCUGAGGGCGUGCAAUUGUGCCACUCAACUUUCAAAUUUUCAUAAUUUUUUAAAUUUAUUUGACGUCUGAACCCCUUACAUUUUGUAAGAUUUCUUAUCCGCCCUUAUAAAAAUCUAAAAGUCUUCCACCAUUCAAUUUCACAAGUCGAAAGUAUCACUUCAAUGAGGCUUUCAAGAUUCUAAGAUAAUCAUAUUCUAUGGAGGUCACAUUUCUGGAGGUGGUGGGAAGGUAUCUUACAGGCAAGGAAAAGACCAAGAGGAGAAGAUCACAUCACAUUAACAGCAAACAUCAUCUGGCAAAUUUGGAAAGCAAGAAAUGAUCGACAGUUUGAAGGGAAGUAUAGAGAUCACAUGUCCAUAUUAGAAAAUGCAAAAAAUGAAUGGCUGGAAUAUCAAGAGGAGCAGACGGAAAAUGAGGCAAAGCACAGAACAGGAACAAGUCACCAACUGCACAACCACCAAUGAAGGCCACCAGAAGCAGGUGUAGUGCGAAUCAAUACUGAUGCUGCUGUUCCUAUUAAAGUAGCAGGAACGGGGCUGGGAUUAAUAGCGAGAGAUAGGCAUAGGAACCUGAAAGAAGCAAGAGGCAUCAGGAAAUAUAGCAGAAGUGGAGCUGAAAUAGAAGAGGAUAAUGGCCAAGGAAGCUGGAUGGCGAAAAGUAGAGAUGCAAUCGGAUUGCAAAGCUGCCAUUGAAAAACUCCACAACCAAGGCAGGGAGGAAACACCAAUUGGCACUAUAAUAGAAGAUAUAAAACAAUUGAGUGGCCUGUUCCAGUACUGUACUUUUUCUUUGGUGUAUAGAAAUGGAAAUAGAUGUGCUCAUCAGAUGGCACAAUUUGCAACUAACUUGUUUCCAAUGUAUUAUGGAAACAAAGUUUCCCUCUGUGGCUCAAAGAGAGUAUACAGGAGGACAAUAGGACAAAUGUCCACUUUUGUAAUUAACAUCUUGUAUUAUCAAGGUUAAUAUAUAUAUAAAGAGAUUACCGUUUGGAAAAAAAAAAAUAUUAAGCUUCCUUUGUAAACCAGUACUAGAACUUGAGCCAUGUAUAGAAAGCAUGCACAAAAGUAUCGGGUAAAAGUUCUUUUUACCUGUGACGAUGUCUCUAAAGAACUCAAUGGAUUCAUUCAGCUCCUAGGCAGUUUUGCCCUUCCACUUGACGGUGAGUACCGGAAUGGCGGUCUCCUCUCGAAUCCUCUAUAUGCUGCCCCUCCAAGGAACAAGGUUCCGUUCGAGCCAGGAGGCUUGACAGAUGAAAGGAACACAUGGUCCUCGACCCGAACUUCACUAACUGAGGGUGAUUGACCCAUUAGUACCAGUCCAGUCAGAACACCUCUUACUGGGUUUUCGCCCGCUACCUUUCAAAAUUUGUGAAGGAUGAUAACUCAGAGUCUUUUUUAUGAAACUUCAAGGUGUUCAUUUAUAGAGGGAAACCUUGGAGGUUUUUAGGAAUUUUCAGAAAGAGUUCGAGACUUUGGAAGUUAUUUUUGUCUGGAUGAUGAAAAAUGAUCGGCUGGAGGAGAUGAAUGAGACGAGAGGUUAAAGGCAUUAACGCCGAAUUUGGAUGCCAAUAUACGACCAAUACUCAAAACUGCCCACUUUGCAUUCUGCCCAUGAUUUGUUCUUUUAGCUUAACGGGCAAUGGGAGUAUGGGAUCUUCAAACUGUCUAUUUUCUCAGCGCAAAAACUUAUUUUUUGAGGUCCAAAUGAUCAUAGUUUUUGAAUGAGAAUGUUAAGGGAAUUUAUGAUUUCUGCUCGUAGCAUAUAGGACUUAAUAGUUUGCUGAACAAAGGAACUGGAAUAAUUUCAGGCAAAAAUACAGUUAAAUGUUUAUUUUUGCAAGCGAUGGAUGUGCAGUGUAUCAAGUUUUUCUUGAAUUGCACCAAUUUGCGAGUGCAGGAGAAGAGUUAUAAAUUGAUCUAGUUCUUUUUAGAAAUGUAAUUUAAUAUGCUUUUUUCUCCAUUCACACUUUGACUUCAGAGUCUAAUGUUAUAGAUGGUAUGACUACUAAAGUGAAAGAUUAAUUUGUCCAACCUACAUUUGGCAAUGAUUUUCCAGACUCAUCCUGAAAGAGAUUAAAUUAGACAACUUGAAAGCAAUAAGGUUUUGGAUUCAACUAUUAUCUGUAUACAAAGUGAGAUUAAUCUAGUGAGUUUCCUAUUUGCUAUAAAGACAAACAAGAAAGAUCAAUGCUAAUUCUGAUUUAAUUUAAGAUUUAUUCUUUUGAAAGCAGGAGAUCAAGUCACGCAAGAAUUAAUCUCAGUAGACCUACCUGAACCAGUUAUGUCCUAACUUUUGAAAUUUUUUUUUUCUUUGUUGUGGAUAAAAUGUUGUGGCAUUAUUACUUAAUCAGAGCAUCAGUCUGCCGAUAAGGCAGAACAUACAAAAGCUAGUAGAGGAUGACUAAAUCCAUUUUGUAUUUCAAACAUUUGCAGUGAAGGUAGUGUCUAACGGCUUGUGCACUGUUAUAUGCUCUGAUUAAAUAAAAUUGCCACUUUCUUUUAUGAAAAAAAAAAAAGAAAUUAACAUAACUAAUGAAGCCUAAUUUUACUACAUACUCCACAGCAUUUAGCUACAAUCAUAGCAAACAUUCAUGUCUGUUAAGUUUGUCUUUGUAUCUUACAUUGAAAGUUUUACAAAGAAAUCUGUUAGAACUGGCAAAAAAACCCAAAACCCAAUAACCCGCCCAGUCCACCCAUUAAUGUUAAAGGAUGGGUUGGGUCAAUUGGAUAAUGGGUUUUGUUGGAUUGGGUAAGGACAACCCAAUUUAUUCAUUGGGCAGGUUGGGUUGGGUUUUUUUAUUUGGGUACCCAAUACCCAACUUGUUUAAAAGUAAUUCAAAAUAAUAAAUGCAAGAUUCAAUACACAUAUGUCCAACUAUUUGCAUUUGGACAUGUGUUAAUAAUUCAUUGAUUAAUAUGUAUUCAAAAUUCUCAUAUAUAUAUAUAUAUAUAUUUUUUUUUAAUCAAUUUUUUUAAGCUAAUCUAUUUAAAUGUACAAUUUAUUAUCUAAAAUUCACAAUACAAGUAAUAUAAAAUAUUAUUCUAUUUAUGAUGUGUUUUCGGGGAACUUAAGAAGUGAGUGUGUGUAAAAAUACAUUUAUGUAUGUGAAAACGUGUUUAUAUGUGUGAAAAAAAUCUUUUUUGUUUGUUAAAAUGUAUGUGAAAAAAGUUUAUGUAUUAAAAUGUAUUAAUUAAUAUGUCGGGUCAUAUUUGAGUCAUGGGUUUGAGAUAACCCAAUAUGACCCAACCCAAAAUCAACCCAAUCUAAAGUUGGGCGGGUUGGGUAUAACUCAUUUAAGUGAAAACCCAAUAUUAACCCGCCCAAUUGCCAGAUAUAAAAUCUGUCAUGAUUAUAAAUAUACUGGGUUUAAAUGAGUUUAAUUGUACUCACUUAAAAUUUUACUUUUCUAAAUUUUUUUAUAUGUUGUUUGACAAGAAAUAAUAACAUUUUAUUAUUAUUAGAUUGGUAGAAAAUUCAAAUUUAUUUGCUUAAUACCCAUUAAAAAUGAAGUUUAAAUGUACAAUUAUAUUUAAAUAUGUAUAAAUGGAUGAAUCGAAUCAACCCAUUACCCAUCAAUUAAAUGGGCUUAAUUGAGUAUCCAUUUAAACUCAUUCAAAAUUCGUCGCAUGCCCAAGUCCACUUAUUAGCGGGCCAAUUUGGAAAAUCAAUAUAAUUGGAUUGUGGUGUUAAUACUUUUAGUAGAGGUAUUCUCCGCCAGCUUUUGGACCCUCCACAUUAUUGGCGGACUCAUUUAGCAAAUAAAAUUUGCUAGUUUCUUUUUUAAAAGAACUUUAAAAAAUGUGCGCCCGCACACACAAAAUGAACUUUCAUUUUAGAGCCCACUCCUCGGCGUUUAACUAAAGUCACAGCAGAUAUUCACCCACGUCGUUAGUUUUUAGCUCCAAUUGCCUGAAAAGAUGUGGACAUAGAUGUUGAAAUUGUUGAUGACUACAUAACACAAUCUCCAUAACACAAUCUUGAAAUGGUUAAAUCACAGACAUGAAUUGCCACGAGCAAUUCUGCGGAGCCCUCAACCUUAUAGUAGUUAAACAAAAUCCUUAUGUGGGAUAAAAUUAUGUCCAAACAACUCAAGUUAGAUGGUAUUUCUAUCUAGGAAACUCUUCCUCAAAUCACAAGGUUAAUACAAAAAAAAAGAAGAAAUUCACUACGUAUAUUAACUUAAUAUUUUUUGAGACAUUAAAAGUAUUAUUGUUCUUGUUCAUUUUAUUAGUUGAUUUAAAAUAAAGAAAUUGUACUUUAAUUACUGGUGAUUUAAUAUAUUGAAUUAACUAAAACAUGUAUAAUUUUAUUAUCAUCCUACUGUAUGAUUUUAAUAUUCAUAAUAAUUUAUUCUUUUCAAAUCGGUGAUCAAAAAAAUUAGUCAAAGAAAAAGGACAACUUUUUGAAGGAAAUAAAUGUGAUGAUUCACGACAAAGAUCUAAAAAGCAACAAGUUAUUGUUUUCUUUUAGAAGUGGAUUCAAUAGGCACUUAGUGCUGACAUUUUCACAUAACAUUUGCCUUGUAUUACUUAUUUGUUAUUUAGUUUGAUUAUCAAUAUGUGUAAAGAAAUUUUUGUGUACAAACUUUGCUUCGCUGACCCAAGGUUAUUGUUCGGUCGCUGUCUUCGGGAAUUCUUUAGCUGUCAAGGAUUGGAACAGUAUCAACUAGGGGUGGGCCAAAAUUAUUCGCUAACUCGAAGAUCCGCCAUAUCUGAUUCGGUCCGAUCCGAAAAUUAGGAUAUCUGAUAUGUAUUAUUUGAUCCUGUAAAAAAUGGAUCAAGUACCUGGUAAAUUACAGGACGGGUUAGGAUCACAUAAUUAAAAAUUCACAGGUAUCCAACUCGCUCUGCAUAUAUAUAUUUAUUUAUUUAUACAAUACUAUAAAAUAAUAUUUUUAGAGUUAAAUAAGCAAUUUCAUUGAAUAAAUUGCAUUACAAAUAUGAGAGACUAUAGUUUAUUUACAAGAUACAUUUGUAGAGAUCAUGAUCUUAUGUUUUUAUAGAAAAAAGUUUAAUUAAUGUGGAACUUAUAUUUAAAAAAUGUGCUAUUUAUUUCAAAAUUUUAUUGAUUUUGAAUUCUUUUAAUUUUUUCUUUUAUCCUGUAUUCUCUUUGCAUACUUGUUUUUUGGUGUGAGACUUUUUUUGAGAAAAAUCUUUAUUAAAUCUUAGAUAAAUGUGUAAAAUAUAAAAUUAAAUUAGUAUAAAUUAUUUUUAUAAAAAAUUAAAUAAUAAGAGGGACAGGGCGGAUGUCCUACAUAUGCGGGGCGGGUAAGGGUCAGAAAAUAUCUGACCCGUAAGAUGCGGGUCGGGUCAGUUAAAUGAUGGAUGGGGCAAGUACUCGACUGGCGCCCACCUAUCAACCUUUUGAGCUUCUCAAAUGGGCCUACAAAAUAACAAAGAAUAAAAAAUAGUCAUAAUCUCCUAACUUACCUCACAUUUGCACACUUCAACAUUGAUUCAAAUGAACAAAAUUGGUAUGCACUAUUGGUAAAUCAAAACAUGUUCCAAAAGUCAGACAUGUUAUUGCAACCAUAUCAAUAGCCGGUUAUUUUGUUUCACAUAUUACCCUGUCUUUCCUAUCCAAAUCCAAAUUUCCAAAAGAAAGCAGAUCAUACAUGUUCGUAUGCCAAAACCCGAAUUGGAGAAUUCCACUAUUGGACAGAAAAUAGGAGCGAAAAUAACAUGUCACUUGGCUCAUUGUCUAGUCCAAGAAAGGAAAUUUAGCAUCAAUUAUAUUUCACGUUCCUUUUCCUCGUGUACUAAGGAUAUAUGCAUAAUUUAAUCAUAUCUAAUUUGCAUAAACAGCCAUAUAAGGUUACAUAUCCAACAUUACAAUCCUUAUCUGUGCAGAAACUUUAGAAAUCUCUGUCCACAAAAGAACAAUAAUGACCAAUAAAUGAAGCAUCCAAUUUCAGUAAAACCACAUUUGUUUUUUUCUUGAAUUUGGCUAUUGUUUCCUUAUUAGAUGUCCGUUACAGUAAAGUUUAGCCCAAGUCACAAGAUAUGUGUCCAUGCUGGUAAAUUUGCAAUGUAGGAAAACAACAAAAGGUCGUCAUGAGGAUUGUCAAAUUAUUCUAAAACAACAAACUUUUCUCUAAUUUGUGAUUAUAAGAGAGGAGGAGUUCUAUAGUACUUUUCGGGUAUUAUAUCGUUAUAUAUUAAUUCACCGUUGAUGCAUAAAAAGGGAUAUCAGUACUUAAUGAUUUUAGGAGUUUAAAUUAUUGAAUGAUGUGAUAAGACUUUAUUGGAUGAGAAUCAUGGGUAUGAUGUUCAAAAGAGAUUGUAGAAUUUUGCAUCCCAUAAAUAAACUUCCACAAUUUUGUGUUAUCAAUUUUACCUUUUGAAAAAAAUAACUUGGUUACUCAUUUGGAAUGAACCAAGGCGACCGAGUUGAGGUGCUAUCAAAAUAUAAUAUCUGUUGUUGUGCUCUGGUUUUUAUGGAUCAUUAACACAAACAUGUUAUUCAUUUUUUUUUCCAACAAACGACACAAACAUGUUAUUCAAUGUUGAGAUUCACGGUAAAGAAUACAUCAAAUUUGGAGUUAUAUAUCCAUAAAAGAAUAGGAAAAAAGAAGAACGGUCACAAAAGUGUAUUUUAUAUUACAAGAGACAUCUUGUGACAUCAGAUACUCGUCUCCACAUUAUAGCAAAAGACAAAGUGGGGGUAGUAGGGCAAUUGCCCUCAUUGAUCCCACCAAAAUCUUCAUAUCUGCAUAUAAAUUUAUAGUUUUAUUCCUAUACUUAAAUGAAAUUGUCCCCACCAGCCUAUUGCAAAGUUUAAGUAUUAGAGAAUUGCCUAGCCAAAAUCUCCAUGUAUGCUUAUAAAAUUGUAGGAUUGCCCCCACACUUAAAUGAGAUUACCUUUGCUACCCGUCAACAAAAUGUAAAGUAGUAGUGUACACUUUGUUUAUAUAUAUGUCUCAAUAUCUAAAUAAUUUAACAACACUUAAAAUAAAGAAUGAUACUGAAUUUGCAUUUAUUCUUCUAAUUUAUCUAUUCUAAUGUGCUCCCAGUACACAAACUUAUUGGAAAAGUUUUUUUUUUAUAACUUUUUUUACUACAUACUAAAACUCACAAACAUUGCUCAUUUUUUAUUUCAUCCUAACAAAAGUCUAGAGAAAAUUUAUUAGGGUCGUGAGAGGAGAAGUGGAGGUAUCCUUUAUUAGGAAUUUAAGAUUUGAGAGAUAUUUAUUUUGUUGCUAAAUUGUAAAUUAAUUAUAUACAUAACUUGCGGCGUACAUUAUUAGUUAAACAUACUUUAUUUUCAUAUUGUAAUUAGUAAAAUUUCACAUAUUAACUUUGCCCCUAUUGAAUUUCUUUUCUAGCUCCGCACCUGAGUGUAGCAUAUUAGAUUCACAUCAGAAAAACACUUACGUCCCAAAUGUACUACACUAUCGAUGAAGAACCAUUUGUGGUUAAAUCUUAACUAAGCAACAACUGCAGUUAUGGUGCAUACCAAUGGUACUGCCUUUUCUUACUCGUAGAUCCUUUUCAUCGUCUAAUAAUAGUUUUGGCAAAAGUACAAAUUGAUAGAUACAUUUGCCUACAAGUCGCUUAUUGCAGAUAAUGCAAGCUGGUGUUAUUAUUUUUUCUUUUUGGCUACUAUUCCUAUUGCAAUAACUAAUUUGCAUGCCGACAAACCUUCUGGUUUAUUUACACUUUUUAUUUGACAGACAAAUUAUUGACUAAAGUUUUAUGUUUAUAACUAGUACUAAGUAAAUUAAAUCUAAAAAAAAAUUAAAAGUAUUCCAUAAGCUCAAAUGGAGUGAGAUUUUCUUUUUCUUUUUUUUUUAUGUAGUUAUGAUAAAGUAUUUUGACGCUACUCUGAUAGAAACAUUUAUCAAGAGAAAAUAGUAGUCAAGAUACUAUCAACAGGUUUUGAUAACGAAAUAAACCUAACUGGGACAAAACAUGUUCUUGUACAAUAGAUCUAAAGAUAGUGAAUAAUGUUCGCAUUAAUGAGACUUAAAAUUCAUGUCUAAAUAAAUAUAUUAAACAAAAAAACUGUUUUAAACAAAUCAAAAAGAUUUCUAUAAAACUAUUAUUGUGGCAAGUAUGCGGAAAGACACAUUAUAUACAUUAGGGUAUGAUAUUAAAAGUUACAAUUGAAAGAAAUAUGUGCACCAAUAGUAUAUGAAACGCGACAAUUUCUCAAGAGCAAAAAGUAAGUGUUUUGUAGGGUUAAAAGUCAAUGAGAUGUGAGAAAUAAGUGUUGAUAUGGGCAGUUGAAAUGCUGAUUUGAUAACUAGCAAUUGGUAUCGUGCAAUAUCGAAUUCGGGGCUAUAGUAAGACCUUUCAAAUGUUACUUUCUGGAAAAUAAUAUCUUGUUCAUAUGAAUAAACAAAUAUCGGGGGAGGGAACCGUUGGGUGGUACGGGGGAGGGAGUGUAAGUGUGAGGUCUCGGGUUCGAGUUUUCUUGCUGACACUAAAAAAUAUAUAUAUAUAAAGAAUAAACAAAUAUCAAAAUUCUAUAUGACAAUGCAGCAACACAUUGGAAACACUUUUUAAAAUAGUUAUAGGUUUUUCUUUUUAAUAAACAAUGCCUUAGAAACAUGUGUAAUAAUUUGAAAUUGAGAAUUAUAAAAUGACAAUUUCUGUAAUACAAAAUUAUUCUUACCUAGAAAUUCCACACCAUUUCUUGCUAAUAAGUGUGGAAAGUAUUUAUGCAUUAAAAAGCAUAAUAUAUUUUUGACCAUUUAUCUUUACAGGCACAACAUAAUAUAUAUUUACCUGUUGAUAUAAUAUAAUAGAAAUUGGCUUUUAACAUAAAAAAACCUCUUGUUAGUAUUACGCGACAAAUUAGACAUGCUGACUACACAUUAACAAAUCAGACAAGUAUCAAAAUAUAUCAAUUUAUCAAAUUUAACAAAUCAGACAAGUAUGACUACACAUUAACAAAAUAUAUAAAUUUUGCAUAUCGUAGUUCUUUCCUAAAAAUUUCCCGCCAAUAUAUUAUAUUGUAGCAUGAUUGACCUUUCGUAAAAAUUUCCCGCCAAUAUUUAAUAGCAAGCAUAUAUGUUAUGAACGAGUUCGUUAAGAUUUUAGAUAUGGUGGACUAAGAACCAAUAAAAAUUUUCAAACUUCUUGAUCUCUAUUAUUUAAAAGCUUAAUUGAUCAUCUAACAUGUUUUGAUAAUUGUUCAGUUUACUUAUAAUAUAACUAAAAACAACUUAAUCUUAAGGCAUACAGUUACAUGAAAAAUUAGAUAUACAUCUCAUGUAUUUUUUAUAUAUCAAUUUAUCAUAUCCGACAAAUGAUUAGACACGUGUAUAACAAUACAAUAAUGAACAAGAUUUAAAAUUUUAACUACAUCGUAGAAAGAUUAUGCUUUCCUAAAAGUUUGCCACCAAUAUUUAUUAGAAAGUAUAUACACACGGACAAGUUCGUUAAAAUUUUAAAUAUGGUGGACCCAAGAAUUUAACGCUAAUAAAAUUUUCUUGGAUCGAUUGGCGUUGUUAGCAAAAUACGACAAGAGUUUGUUACGAUUUAUAGUGAUCGCAUUCCUCAUAUGUAAAAAAAAUUAUUACACAAUUUCUCAAACUACUUAACCUCUUUUAGUUAAAAACUUAAUUGAUCAUUUAAUAUAUUUUUAAAAUUGUUGCAUUUACUGAAUAUCUUUUCACACUACACUUACAAUCCAAAAAAGAGGAAAAUGAUAUUAAUACAAGAUGUGAUGAAAAGUUGCUUUUCCUAAUUUCCUUAUUUGGAAAACGUAAAAAUAUAGUAGAAUUCAGAAAAUUAAAAAAAUUAGGAAAUGAGUUUUGGGAUUAAUUUAUAUACUAUGUAUGUAUAUAGUGUGCAUCUUACGAGAUAUUACAGCCAUACCAAACGAACCAUUCCCCACCCCAAAUGCCAACCUAGCUAGGUUUGCCUUAUCACUCUUUACCUUUCCUUUGCUAUAUAUAUAUAUAUAUAUAUAUAUAUAUUUAUAUAGUCAUUAGUCACCAGUGCACGCACACACCAUUCAUACAUUCAAAUUACCAUCCUUCAUUUCCCCAUCCCUUGUCUCAAACACCAGCCUUAGAUUGAAAAAGUAAACAAGUCCAAGGGGAAAGUAGGCGCACCAAAAAUGGUGGUGAACCAUGCUCAAACCCCGCUUGGUGUACGUACGAGGUCCAUGACUCUGGAACUCAAGCGUAUACAGAAGUUACCUGCUUCACCAUCAGCUGCAUCUGCAGCCAUUGGAGAUGGUGGAUCCUAUCUGCAACUGAGGAGCCGUAGGGUGGAAAGGCUCUCACCAUUUGCUGCUAAAGCAAAAACCCGAAAGAUUCUCAAGGGUUCGACUUCAAAGAGCCAGGGAACUAGGCCAGCCAGUGAGAAUCAAGAAAGUGAGAAAGACAAGGGGAAGCGUCCAAUGCUGGAGGAGAAUGAAAAUGAGGAGAAAAACAAAAACCCUGAUGAUUUGAAGGUCAUGGAGUCCUCCUGGGGAGAGAACAACUUGGAGGCUAAAAGUGCUGAAAGGUGGGUUUAUUUCUGUUUUGUUGACUUUUGAUGACUUUAUAUAUAUAUAUAUAUAUAAAGGUUUUCAUUGUUUUGCAUAAAUGGAAUUUAUGUUUUUGGUGCUAACAUUGAAUUUUAAGAAGUUGACACUGAAAUUUAUUUGGUUUCAACAAAAAUGUUUUGCAAGUUUUAAAUUUCAAUCUUUUACAAGAUAUAGUUUGGCUAGUUGAAAUUUUUUCUAUGCUGUCACUAAAAUGUGAUUGAAAAUGAUAAAGUCAGAAUUGGUUUUUUUUUUUUUGUUUUUAAAGGAGGAAUAGUUUUGGAUUUUGAUAGAAUAAAUUUUUUCUGCAAAAAUCUCUUUGUUUUUAUUAAAAAUGCAUUACUUUUGGGUGUUUCUUAUUUGGGUCCUUGAUUGUGUGCAUUGGUAUACAUAUGGAAACCCCGAUUUGGUUUAGACCCUUCUAUUGUUGCUUGAAGAAUGAGGUAUAUUUUAAAAAAUUGAAUGUUUUCACCAUUCAAUAUGGUUUUAAGGAUUUUUGUAACUUUUUUAGCAUUUUGAUUUUACUCUAUGCACUUUAUUAGAUUCUUGAAAUAUUAGCAAAGAAAUUAAAAAAAAAAUCUAGAGUUUUGUUGGAGUGUCACAGCCACGUGGUUGUUCGAAUUUGUACACCUCAAAGUGUAUUUUUUUUCUUGUGCUAUCCUUAGGAAUUCUUUUCCACAAAUUUUUGUUACAAACAUUUGUCAUGACUUCCAAGAAUGGUCUCCUAUAUAUGAUUUUAGCAAAGAUUUUUAGCUUUUCAAUUUCAUUCAUUCGAGAAUAUCAAGAUUCAUUAUUUUUUUAAAAAAAAAUCAUUCUUUUUUUUCAAUUAUUUUCUCAUUGAGUCCCUUGAAUCCUAUGAAUCAAACUUGAUGGACCUAAUCGAGUUGAUUCGAUUUGAUCUCAAUUACAAUGAUUCAAGCCGUGAACUCGUUUUAAUCGUUAAUUGCAUGUUCAUCUUCUAGGUUGGGUUCAUUUUCUGACUUUUUUGGUUGAUUGCUAACCAAUUCAAUUAUUUGCUACUUUACUUAUUUGGGAAAAUUCGAGUUAUUCAAAAUGUGCUUCUUAACUUGAGGAUCCAAGUCUUAAUAGUUUUCCCAAAUAGACACACCAUUUACAAGACAAAGUUUCUUUCCGUCAAAGGGCUAGCAAUUUUUGCCAAUAUCUAUUUGUGUGUUUGCUAAUAGCAUGUUUAUACAUUGUGCUAUUUGUGCUUAUCCGUUGGUGUUUGACCAAAUUGCCAAAUAAUUGUACUAACAGCUGUUCCAUCCCACGUUACUCUGUGCUUAUAAGAUUUCAAAUUCUAAUCCUCCUUUUAUGGCAAUUUACUUAUAUCUAAGCAUUUCUUAUUUUAAUUUAUGGAUCUAACGAGUUCGGAUUCCUUCAAUUUUCUUUUUAGGGCCACAAGGGAGACCACGCCAGUCCAUUUGAUUAGGGAUCCAAACGCUCUGGUUCUUCCCCCCUUUUCAAGCACCAGGCGUCGCUACACCCGCACCACAAGGGCCAAUCCAAGGCAGUUCAUUAACCCGGUAGAAGAUUACCUGAACGCACUUUUUGGUGAUCUUGAAGAGAGGCAUAAAAACAAGUGCAUUGAGAAGUAUGUGUGAGGGUUUUUAUUUCCUAACAAGGCCAUUAUUUUUCUUCUUCUCAUGAAUUUCCAGCUUGUGGACAAUUAGACAAAGACAUUUUCUUGAUGAAUAUUAAUUUUGUGCAGGUACAACUUCAACUUCGACAAGGAAGAGCCGCUACCUGGCCGUUAUGAUUGGGAGAAAUUGAUGCCUUAAUUUGGUUUAGGAAAAGUGUUAACAGGUGAUGGAAAUCCUUGUACUUCCAUUGUCGUGUCUUUUAUGUACAAAAUAAGGGGACUAGGGUAGUGAAGGACUUGUCGACUAAUGAUCUGUAACAUGUUAAAGGAGAUAGCUCAGUUUCUUCAAUUGUCUAGAAGUUCAUUAGAACUUGUUUGUUGUCGUCGUCGCCGCCGUCGUCAGUUGUGUUUGUAUAAGUUUCUUUGUUUAUUGUUCGUAACUGUACUGUGUGGAACUCUUUCAAAGAAUUAAUAAAAAAGACCGAUUUCCUUUGUUGUACUUUUGGCCUUCUUUUUGACUGUUUUCUUGUGAAUUUCUUUUUCCUAUCAAAUCUGGAAAUCUAACCUUGUUUGGAUUGCCGGUUUCCGUCUAAAAAUUACGUCGUUUUCCGUGAUUACAUUUCCCUAUUACCUUUUUCCCUCACAUACAUCAAAUCGUUACAGUAAUUUUUCCAUGAAAAAUCACGCAAAAUGCAAUCCAAACACAACGAAGUUUGAAUCCAGAAUUCUAGAACUCCAAGUGCUAGGCCUAUCUUAAAAUGGAAUUUCUAGGCCUCUCAAUUUUCUAUCCUGUUCAUGAAUUGCUUUUUGGGUACCCCAUCCACUAUUUAUAUAUACAUAAUUGGCGUUCUUAGACGGUGGUAGGAGGUCACAGAUUGUCAAUGGCCUAUCAUUUUUAGCUAUGGGUGGGUAUAUAUAUAUAUAUAUAUAUAUAUAUAUAUAUAUAUAUAUAUAUAUAUAUAUAUAUAUAUAUGUAUAUGUGCGUAUAUACAUAUCACUUAUAUGAAAUUUAUGCAAUGAGACACAACUUUGAUUUAAAAUUUAUAAUCCAAUUAAAAAGGGUUAAUUACAUUACCUCCCUCGAGGUUUGGCCAAACCACCAAUCAAUCCCUGUGGUCUCAAAAAAUAACAGAUACCUCCUUCAAAUUUAUUACCUUUAACAAAAGCCACCCUACCAUCUAAAAUCGUUGGAAAUUCUACUAGUGCCAGCCAAAAAAUUAAAGUGAAAGUCCAAAAAUGUCCUCCCAUGUGCCAUUUAUCUUUCUAUUCUUUUAUUCAAAAAAUAGCCUUUUUCAUCCGAACAAAGAUUAAAUAAUGAAAACACUCCCAAAAAAGCACCCACAAUCUUUUCCAAUAAAUAUUAUAAAAACAUUUUUCAAAUCAUUGAAAAUUGUUUCCAUUGACAGAUCCCUAUAUAGGUGAGUAAAAUUUUUGCUUAAAAUGCUACAGGUUAGCCAUGAAAGACAUGAUGAGUUUAAAGAUGUACCAUCCUUCCAAGCUCUUAUCACUUCAACAAGCCAAACAAUACUACUACAAUCUUCUGUUUUGUUUUGGUUAUCAACAGGAUUAGAAAGCAAAAUAUUUGAAUAAACAAGAAAGAGUACAUUGUUCAUAGUUUAAAUAUUAAAACUUUGAACCAUGUAGAGGAGAAAUGGUUAAUAGAGAAGGAGAGAGAGUGUAGAAAUAUGAUGAUAAAUAGGAUGAUUGCUAUAAUGGUGGCUGGAGUAAUGGCAAAUAUAUAGGAGACCUCUAUAGUUUUUCCCGCCAAAAGGCUAUUUGUGUAAUUUUAAAAUAAUUUUUUUUUAAUUUUAGAAAUUGAUCAGACAUGAUGAAGGGCGUUUAGUCUUUUUUUCUUACUUCCGUUCAUCACAAGUGAUUGGGGUUAUUGUGAGGGGCAUCUGUUAUUUUUUAAAACCACGAGAAUUGAUUAGUAGUUUGGCCUAACCUCGAGGGAGGUAAAUGUAAUUAACCCAAUUAAAAAUAGUAAAGAACAAGGGAAAAAGCUAUGGUGGUUACGGAGGAACCAACUCCGAUCCCUCCACAAAAACCUCCCACCUUUCUGUUUAUUUUCUCUCAAAUAAUAAUAGCUUUUAAUGACUUUGACUGGAAAAGAAAGUGUUAGGAAAUUGGCUUAAUUUCUUUUAGACAGGUUUUUUGCUUUGUGUGGAAGUAACUAGUUUUCUAAUUGGUUUUAGUUACUUAAAAUAGUAGUCAAGAAAUUUCCUAUUUUGUUUAGAAUUAGAAGUUAUUUCCUAUUCUGUGUAAGUUUUGCAAUUAUAAUUAGUUUCCUGUUAUUAUUUGGAUUUUUUGGCCAAAUAAUAUUUCCUAUAAAUAGGUGGGUUGACCUACUACACAAGAGACACAUAAGAGCGCACAAGAGGCAACAUGUAGCCUUAUACAUGAGGUGAGAGAGGGUUCUUGAAAGAUGAGAAAUGGUAUAUAAGGGUUGGGAUUGGGUUCAAAUUGUAUUCUUGUAUAGGGUUUUCCUCUCAUAAUAAAGAACGGGUUUCUCUCCGUGGAUGUAGCUUCAAUGGUGAAACCGAAUCACGUUAAAUAUAUUGUGUGUCAUCUAUCUUUCAUGCUUGUGACUUGUCCCUCAUUGAAUUGUUAUGUAUUCGAUAUUUCAAUAGUUGUGUAUUCCACACUUGAAUUCUAACAGAAAGUAUGAGGAUGGAUGAAUUUUGAUGUUCUCUAUUAAUCAGCAUUAGCUCUCUGGAUUGCUAUGAGGGUGGAUAAUAGCUUUUUAAGGACUUGAAAAGUAGGAUUGCUAUUUUUAAGGCCCUAAAACUUCAAUCCUGUUUGAAUUGUUAUUUUUAUGAGUUUUUUUUUUUUAAAAUGUGUUAUAACAAUUUGAUAUAUAUGAGAUAAAAAGAUGAUUAUAACAGGAAUUCACAAAAAUGUAAAAAUUUUUUGUACAAUACUUAUCACCAAUAAUUCAAAUAAGCAUAAUUUCCCCUAAUUUUAGCACAUAUCUUGCUACAUUUUACCUUUCUAAUUGCAAUUUUGUAAUACAGACAGACACUAAUAUAUAGCAUGGUUUAAUAAUAGGCCAAGACCACGAGUAAAAUGGCAUAAAUUGAUAUAAAAAAGAUAUUUUGCAGAUGGUUUGAUUAGCUAGCCAAAUGAUAAAAUGAGUUGAUAAGAUUAUGCUUAUUUGAUUAACUAGCUUAGUUGAUCAAAUUGUGCUUAUUAUCUGCUGUUUAUGUUAGUAUUGUCUUGACGCAAAUUUCAGAUAUCACGACAUGGAUAAACUUUGGAGUUAUCUAAAACAACAGCAUUUCAUCUGGUGGACCCUAAAAAACUUUGUUCUUUUCUACUUGACAAUUAGGAUUGGCAUGAGAAUUGCUCAUCCCUCCCUGGUGCUAUAGAUUUUGUUGCCGUUAGAAAUUAAUUAUAAGAGCAUCCGUUACAAAUUGCUUAUUCACCUCCGCAAAACACUUGUAUAGGCACAUGAAUUUUCUUACAUAUUUUCUUAUAUAUUUCUCGCCAGCACUUUUUAUCCAUCAGCAAAUCAAUACUGGUGAAGAAUUGGGAAUCGACCUUUGAAUUUCAUUGUUAGUUUCAAUUUCAAAUAAUUUUGGUUAAUCAUUAACUUGUUAAAGUACGAGGCAUAUCACCAAUAAAUCAAUUAAGUCCCGUAAUUAACAUGAUGGCUAGCUGAAUCCUACAUUCUACACCGAAAUAUUGAUAGAAAGAUUGAUUUUUCUGUCCAAACAUAAAUUAGAGGUGAAACAAAUGUUUAGGUGAGCUAAGAACGCUGCUCAAUAAGCUCAUUCCUUGAUUGUGCAUGAGAAUUACUAUAGUACAAUUUGUGCCAUUUAGCUUUACAAUUUGACUGGAGACUGGUUCAGUAUUUAAAGUUAAAGGAUUAAGAUCUUAAUAUAUUAAGAUACGUUUGAUAACAAAAAAUAGAAUAUUUGAAUUAAUUAAGUGGCGCUGAAUGUUCUAAGUAAAACUUGCUCCCAAAAAUAAGUGAUAAAUCAUUUACUUAUCAGUUAAUGUGAUAUACAUUCAAAUAUACUAGAUUUAAACACUGUUUAAUAAAUUAAUUCAGUAUGUAAACUUAAUGGAUUUAGAUUUUAACAUAUUCAAACUGUUUGAAAACAAAAAAUUGAACAUCUGAAUUAAUUAAGUAGCACUGAAUUUUCUAGGCAAAAUUUGCUCCCAAAAUUAAGUGAUAAACUAUUCACUUAUUAAUGAAUGUGAUAUACACUCAAAUGUAUUAAAUUUAAUAUUUAACGAUUCAAUAACUUAAUAGAUUCAAAUUUUAGCUUUCAGAUUUCAGACUUUUUAUCAAACGCACUCUUAGUGCUUAAUAAUUUAGUAGCUAAUGGAUUCAAGUUUCAAAUUUUAGUUUUCAAAUUUCAGCUAUAAGGAUUUUUCUAGUAAAUUGUUAAUUAAAGUACUAAAUAAACACUUAUUUGGCUUUACUAGGCGUGUAUGAUAACAACUAACUAUGUAUGCACAUGUAGCACAUAUGUAUAUGUAUGUAUAGCUGUUGAAUCAAUAAUUAUGGGUCACAGCUCAUUCGAAAAAUGUCAAAUUAUGGGAUACCACCCAAUAACGUUAUACUUUUAUCGUACCAAAAAUUUAGUAAGUUAAUUACUCAACACUAAAAUAAAAAUCAGAAAGAUGGUGUGACGCGUAGGAUUGGAAUAGUCAAUAUUACCUCUAUAUAAAAUUGAAGCCUUAAAAAUUGGCUCUCUUAUUAGCAUAUUAUAUUCUUCCUCAUUUAUGUGGACGAAUUUCUCAAAAUAUUGCUAAAAUAAAAAAUUGUCACAAAAGUGGCGUGAUUUUGGAAUUUAAGGGUGGCUGCAAUUCCAAUACGAGGCUUCUAAUAAAAGUAGUUUUAAUUUGUAUUUAUUUUGGCUUGCUAUAAUUUUCUCAAUUUUCUCCUUUUUUUUUUCCAAGCUUUUGCCGCUCAUCUGAUGAGUGGCGAAGCAUUGUUUUUUAUUUUUUUCCUAACGCCGCAAAUUUGAUUUGCGGCAUCCGGAGACGGGAAAUUUGAUUUGCGGCGUCAGUAAAAGAGGUCUAUCCAAAUAUAUUUGGCAUACAGGUGGGUAGUUGGUAAUCUUCAUUUUAAUGAUAAAGGAAGCUAUCCAGAGAGGGAUACUACUGACAUCGCAUGUCUCACCACCUGUAAUAGAUCAGUUAAUUUCUUAUCACAAAUAUUCUUUGAGUUAAAAAUUCAGUUUAUUUAAUAAAAUCUACUCCCCUUUGGGAUUGCACCCGACGUAGAUUGCGGCCAAAAUAUUUUUUUUUAAAAGUGAAAUUGCAAUUUUGUUUUUAAAGUGAAACCUUAUGUACCACUUUUGCAUAAGGACCUCAGCUGGCUUCUCACCACUUUUGCACAUGGACGAACACAGCGUUUCCAUUAGUGCUCCUUUUAAAACGUCCAUACAUGGUUCUUGUUUUACAUGCGGUCAAACUCCGGCGUUUGAUCCCUCCAUUGAUGAUGACGAUGACAAAAUGCCUGAACAAGUUGAUGUACCACCUCGCUCGGAGGUUCGAACAAUUAUAAUUAGGACGAGAUCUACCACACGGAAGGAUUCAUUGGAAAUGUGACUGUUCUACCACUCCGCGCGAUAAGGGUAAGAGGCGCGUUGAUUGGUGAUAUUUAGAUUUUUCAAAUUUUUCUUAUCGAACUUCUUGUUUUAUCAUCAUUUAAGUUCAUGUGCUAGUUAUUACAUGGUAUAAAUAUUGUUCAAUGCUACAUUAUUUAUCAUUAUUUAGAUUAACAUUAACAUUAAAAAAUUUCAAAAAUAUGACUUAAGCAAAUUUUAUUAGUAUUUUAAUCGCAGACUUGAUUAUCAUCUAAAUUUAUAAAAUUAACAUAAUGUCGUAUAUUAAUUUUUUGACAAUUCUGGUUUAUAAUAGGAUUUUAGUAAUCGGGUUUAGGGAUUUUGAUUUUAAGAUUAGGGUUAAAGGGUUUAUGUUUAUAUUAAGGAUUACACUGUGAGGGCUUGAAAAUUAGGAUUUCAUGUUAGGUAAAACGUUAAACCCUAAACCCUAAUUAAGCCUAAUUAAGGUUACGUUUUAUUUUUAAAAAAAGGAAUGUAGCGGCGAUGCAAAAAAAAUAAUAAAAAAACCUCAUGAGCGGCGAUUAAAAAAAUACAAAAAAACCUUCGGCGCUGAUGAAAUUUGCAAAAAAUAUAAAAAAGGAAAACUAAAGCAACCAAAAAUAAAUGAAAAUUAAAAAUAUUUUUGUUGGAAGCCUCACAUCGGAGUUGCGACGACCCCUCGUCCAGAACAGCCUCUCCAAUAGCACCAACUUUGUGACGAUUUUUAAUUUUGGCAAUAUUCUGAGAAAUUUGCCCAUUUAUGUGGUCAUUCCGGGUAUAAUUCCGUUACCAGUUGAGUGAAAAAGCCUUUUCUCUCCCGGUUCACGCACUUGUGUGUUUCCAUACGUUGUCUGGCAAAUUUGGACCAGAACACGAUAGGCUACGCUAGGCCCAGAACAAAUCUGUGGAAAGAACUGAGUCCAUUAACUCAUUUUACCACGGCCCAAAAAGAGAGAAAAAAUAUAAAUAACAAAGCAUAUUGGAAUUAAAGAUUCGCAAUUCUAACCUCUUCAUUUGCUUUCCGCUUAUUAGAUUCCACCUCUUCUGUAUUAAAAAAAAUUCAAAAAAAAUGGGCAUAGUGGUACAAAAAGAUGAAAUCUCAGAAAUUAAUUGAAAAGAAAGCGAGUCUUUCAAUUCAAAAGAAAAAGAAAACAAAGGAGAAAAUAAUUUACAGCAUGAAGGAAAUAAUAGAUAGACAGGCUACUACAACCACCUAAUAAUGUUGGUUAGCAGUAGACUAUUUGAUUAAAAAGUUGGGGUGGUGGAUAGGUUUCACAAAACAAAAAGGGAAUUUAUUUAUUUUUUACCCAAAAUGUCAAUCAAUAUCAUGAAAAUAGCUAGCAGAGAUUUAUAAAUUACUAUCUCCCACCACAGUGCAAGCAACUAACAGCACAAAAACCUUAUUUGUGUCUUUUAUAACAUGCUCCGAUUUUACAUGUUCUUACACCUAUAAUGAUUUAUAAGGUUUAUCCAAUUGAUCAAAAUCUAGAUCAGCAAUUAACGGGAUAAACACAAGAGUUUCAUAAAUUUUGAUAGAAUGUCUAAAUCACAUGUAAGAAGCCGCAAAUUAUUAUUAUUAUUAUUUUUUUAUCUCAAAGCUCAGAAUUUGAACUUGACUUUGUGAAAAAGUAUUCCAGCAGCCAAUCCCUAAAAUGAGGAGAAACUGAAAAAGCUUGACAAGGAGUCCAGAUGAUUUUGCUUUAUUAUCCUUUGGUUCUCUACUAGGCAAAUGUGUAGUAGCAGCAAGCUGUGGACUAUGUUUGGUGGAUGGAUCAAUCUCCCAUCGUAGUAGUCAUCUAGCAUUAAUCUUGCACCACUGCCAUGACCUGCAUUCUUGAAUUCCUCAUUUGCAUCCUUUCCUGCCAAAAAAUCCCACCGUUUCUGAUAGGGUAUCAUUUGUUAGUAAUUUUAUUAUUAAUUUUCCCUUUUAUCCCUGCCAAAUAUUGUGUUAAUUGUUGAUAUCUACUUAUAUUUGGUAUCUGGACUUAAUUUCAGAGAAUGAAGUAGAAAACUACCAAAAGGAGGGACUUUUGUAGAAAAUAGAGACUUCUAAGGGCUUCAAUCCUUGGGCCCUUGAAUUGGCGGGGACCACAAAGCUAUAGUCAUUUUGGGCUCUUCAAAGAAAGGAACCUACAGAAACUUGGAACAAGAAGUAAUUUGGAGGCUUUGUCCACAUGUGUGGGGACCACCGGAGAUAGCCUUUAGUCAUCUUUCUUUUGGCUUUUUAAAGGGGAGAACGUAAGAAGCAAAAGGACUCCUCUAGUUUUAGUUUUUUAGUUUAGUUUUUAGUUUUCUUUCUUUUGGCUGGCCUCUGACACACGCUAGGUGUUCGACAAUAUUCCCCAACGGGAAAAACAUCUUUUAUUCCUUAUUUUUUAGUAAAAAAACGCAAUGUCUUUGCAAUCCAUUAAUUCGUGUGGUGAUUUAAUUAUGCGGCGUGGCUAAGCCUUCCAUCUAGUCAAGGGUCAACUCGACGGCGCAGUCCCGAAAAUCUGUGAGAUCUAAUUAGUUUUCACGCGUUCCUCAAUUUAUUAAUAUUUGCACGUUGUCUGCUUGAAUUUUCAUGGGAUUGUUUUAUUAAUUGGAUGUUAAGGGCCCGAUGUUCAAUGUGAUUUAUUAAUCUCGUGCUAAUUUAGUCAAUUAAAUCCUUAAUUGUUUGAUUGAUUAAUAUUAGUGGCAACUGGUGUGUUUACACAUAAGGGGAACGUGCAAUCUAAUUUAAAUAACCCUCGUAGCGUGUUAUUGAUUAGGGAUAGGUUUUUCUAGUUAUUAAUGCAAUUGAAAAAUUAAUUCCUACGGUCGUACCUAGAAGUAUUUUCUGGUUAGGGGUGAUCAAUGGUCGUACCUUGGUCAUCUAUAAAUUAAAGAAAAAUUGGUUGUUAGAGUUCAUCGGCGACUAUAACUAGCGUAUUAAUAAAUUAAGUGAACCUCUCUUGCAUCAAUGAUCGGAUAAAUGGACUGUGUCUGAGUAGUUGUAUCCUUGGUUAGAAUUUAUUUAUUCUUGAUUUAAUUCCUGCUAUAUUUGUGUUAGUUAAUUAAUCAUUUUUAGUUGAAUUGUUUAAUUGUUUUUAGUUUCAUUCCGGUGAAAUCCCCCUUACCAAUUGGAAUUUAAGAGAGGCAAAUAUCCCCAGUCCCUGAGUAGACAACUCUACUUGCCACUGUCUACUAUUCAGUAAUUUUUGCCAACUAAUUAAUUUUGGUAUAUCGGAUUCAGCAAAUUCUUCGGAAACAGGGUGAAUCAAGUAACCCAUUACACACCUAGAGUCCCUGCUCCAGUACCUAGGAUUAAUUAUUGACUGUUUUUAGUGAUAUUUAGGUUUUUAUUAUUAUUAUUGCACAGGUUUGAUGCCCUGUCAAUUUUUGGCACCGUUGCUGGGGAGGCAGUACGACCCGUACUCAAGUACCUACAAUCCUGAUUGGAGGGAUCACCCCAACCUGAGUUAUGGGGGGAACAAGCCGUCUAAUUUCAUGCCAAAUAGACAGCAAGGACAUCAACAGCAAUACCAACCUCGCCCACCACCACCCCCUUCGAACUCAAGUCCGUCCCUAGAAGAGAUGAUGAAGCAACUACUUGCGAAUCAACAGAAAACGGAUUCAGACCUACAAACUAUGAAAAAUCAGUGGGGACAAGUGCAAUCAUUGCAAACUCAGGUAAAUCAAAUGGCCAUCACGCUCAAUCGGUUGGAGUCCCAAAUGCAAGGAAAGCUGCCAUCUCAACCUGAGUUGAACUCCAAGAAUGUGAGCGCCAUGACCUUGAGAAGUGGCAAGGAGGUCCAAGGACCCGACCCGUUGAUUCCUAAGGACAAGGACAAGGAUCAAAUUGAGAAAGAGCUGGAAGAGGAGGGCGGAGAUAAUAAAAAUUCAAAGGUAAUUCCGAACUCACUCAUUCCAGUUAGAACCAACCCACCUCCCUUCCCAAGCAGAUUGGAGAAACCAAGGAAGCGGGACAAGAAGAAAGAGGUUCUAGAGAUUUUUUGCAAGGUGGAGAUCAAUAUUCCCCUUCUAGAUGCAAUUAAGCAGGUACCCAGAUACGUAAAAUUUUUGAGGGACUUGUGUGUCAACCGAAGGCAGUUGAAGGGAGAUAAGAAAGUGGUAGUGGGAGAAAAUGUGUCAGUAAUUCUGCAACGAAAACUUCCACCAAAAUGCAGGGACCCAGGUAUGUUUACUAUUCCUUGUAGAAUAAGCAAUACCUUGAUUGGAAAGACUAUGUUAGAUUUAGGAGUCUCAAUUAAUGUUAUGUCGAAAUCUAUAUAUGCUUCUCUGAAAUUAGGACCUCUGAAAGACACUGGAAUAAUAAUCCAACUGGCUGACUGAACCAAUGCAUACCCUGACGGGUUGAUUGAGGAUAUUUUAGUGAAAAUUAAUGAAUUGGUUUUCCCUACCGAUUUUUACGUGCUUGACAUGGAUGAUGAACACUCUUACGACCCAUCACCUUUACUGUUAGGAAGACCCUUCUUGAGUACAGUUCGAACUAAAAUUGAUGUAAAUAAGGGCACCCUAUCUAUGAAAUUUGAUGGUGAGAUUGUUCAUUUUAACAUUUUCGAAUUCAUGAAAUAUCUUUCAAAAUCACAUGCUGGCUCUGUUUUCUCUAUAAAUGUUAUUGACCCUGCUGUACGAGAAGUUUUUGAAAUUGAAGGCAGGGAUGAGUUAGAAGUCGCAUUGACUAGGCACUUCGAGUCAGAGAUGGCGUCUGAAAUAGAGUUGAGUGAAGAGCUCAAAUGUGUGAUUGGAGCGUUGCAAACGUUGCCAACCACAAAAAUAAGGUAUGGUCUCGCACCCAUUUGUACACCUGAAUCUCACAAAAGGUUACUUCCAUCUGUGGUGCAGGCACCUGUUUUGGAGUUGAAACCGCUGCCAAAACACCUUAAUGCAUACUUGGGUGAGGGGGAGACACUCCCAGUAAUCAUCUCCGCGAGUUUAUCAAAAGUCGAAGAAGAAAAUUGAUUCGAGUUUUGAGGGACCAUAAGCAGGCGAUAGGAUGGACCAUCGCCGAUAUCAAAGGAAUUAGCCCCGCGGUAUGUAUGCAUCGGAUUCGACUCGAGGAGGGUGCUAAACCUAUUCGGCAGGUUUAAAGGAGACUGAAUCCCCUCAUGAUGGAGGUAGUGAAGAAAGAGAUCCUGAAACUGCUGGAUGUGGGGAUAAUCUUUGCUAUAUCAGAUAGCCCUUGGGUGAGUCUGGUACAGAUGGUCUCGAAAAAGGUAGGGGUGACGGUGGAGUCUAAUCAAGAGGGUGAGCUCGUACCAGUUCGAAAGCCCAUCGGGUGGCGGCAGUGCAUAGAUUAUAGGAAGUUAAACGCCGUCACGAAAAAGGAUCAUUUUCCCCUUCCUUUCAUUGAUCAAAUGGUAGAGCGAUUAGCAUGUCGAGCUUACUAUUAUUUUUUGGAUGGAUUUUUAGGUUAUUUCCAGAUUGCUAUCGCCCCCGAGAACCAGGAGAAGACUACCUUCACGUGCUCGUUUGGAACAUUUGCAUACCGGAGGAUGCCAUUUGGGUUAUGCAAUGCACCUGCUAUCUUCCAACGAUGCAUGGUAAGUAUCUUUUCGGAAUAUGUUGAGAAGAUUAUUGAGAUUUUUAUGGAUGAUUUCAGUGUGUAUGGGAAAAGUUUCGAUAACUGUCUAGAUAACCUGAAAUUAAUUCUGAUUAGAUGUAUAGAAACUAAUCUUGUGCUCAAUUGGGAGAAAUGUCAUUUUAUGGUCGAGCAUGGGAUAGUUUUGGGUCAUGUGGUGUCGUCUAGGGGUAUUGAGGUUGAUAAAGCAAAGAUAGAUGUUAUAUCUACUUUACCCUACCCUGCGAGUGUGCGGGAAGUGCGUUCUUUCUUGGGUCACGCAGGUUUCUACAGAAGGUUUAUCAAAGAUUUCUCGAAAAUUGGAGCGCCCCUGUUCCAACUUUUGCAAAAAGAGAUGCCCUUCGAGUUCAAUGAAGCAUGUAAAAGAGCGUUCGACAGGUUGAAGGAGCUAUUGAUCUCCUCACCCAUUAUCCAACCGCCCGACUGGAACCUACCAUUCGAGAUCAUGUGUGACGCCAGCGAUUAUGCAGUGGGUGCGGUGCUGGGUCAAAGAGUGGGAAAGGCAGCCCAUACUAUAUACUACGCAUCUCGAGCCUUGAACGGAACUCAGUUGAACUAUUUAACCACCGAAAAGUAGCUUUUAGCUGUAAUAUUUGCUUUAAAGAAAUUUCGGUCCUAUAUACUUGGUGUUAAAGUUAUUAUUUUCUCUGAUCAUGCAGUUUUGCGGUAUUUGUUGAUCAAAAAAGAGGCAAAACCGCGACUUAUAAGAUGGAUACUAUUGGUUCAAGAGUUUGACCUGGAGAUCAGAGAUAAAAAAGGGGCAGAAAAUUUGGUAGCAGAUCACCUGAGUCGGAUACAAGUCACCGAGGAUAACCUCCCACUGAGAGAAACAUUCCCCGAUGAGCAUUUAUUUUCUAUUAAUUUAUCUUUGCCGUGGUAUACAGAUAUUGUUAAUUUUCUAGUUACUGACAAGUUUCCUGCAGGAUGGCCUAAGGCAAAAAGGGACAAGUUAAGGAGUGACGCAAAGUCUUACAUCUGGGAUGACCCUUACCUCUGGAAGCGUGGUGCCGACCAAAUCAUUCGUAGAUGUGUAAGUGAAAAUGAAUUCCAAUCUAUUUUAGUUUAUUGUCACUCUUUUGCAUGUGAAGGUCACUUUGGACCAAAGAGAACGGCUCGUAAGCUUCUAGAGAGUGGAUUCUAUUGGCCGACCCUCUUCAAGGAUACCUACUCAUUUUGUAAGUUAUGUGAUAAGUGUCAACGAGUAGGUAAUAUUUCUCGUAGGGAUGAAAUGACCCAAACCCCAAUGAUUUUUGUUGAGAUUUUUGACAUUUGAGGUAUUGACUUUAUGGGCCAUUUUCCUUCGUCUUAUGAUUUUCUAUAUAUAUUGUUUGCUGUAGACUAUGUUUCGAAAUGGGUGGAAGCAAAACCCACCCGUACUAAUAAUUUCAAAGUGGUUGCAAAAUUUGUCAAAUCUAAUAUCUUUGUCUUCACUUCCUACCAUCCUCAGACAAACGGUCAGGCUGAAGCAUCAAAUCGUGAGAUCAAGUCGAUUUUGGAGAAGAUGGUUCGACCCGAUAGGAAGGAUUGGAGUAUAAGACUUGAAGAUACCUUAUGGGCAUAUAGAACGGCGUACAAGACGCCAAUCGGCAUGUCCCCUUAUCGUCUGGUAUUUGGGAAGCCAUGUCACCUCCCUGUCGAGUUCGAGCAUAGAGCAUUUUGGGCUGUUAAGCAAUGCAAUAUGGAUAUUGAGGAGGGUGGAAUUCAAAGGAAAUUACAGUUACAAGAAUUGAAGGAAAUUCGCAAUGAAGCCUAUGAGAAUGCUGUGAUUUAUAAGGAGAAGAAUAAGAUAUUUUAUGACCAGCAGGUCUCUAGGAAGACGUUUGAAUGAGGGCAAAAAAUUCUACUGUACCACUCGAAAUUGAAGUUAUUUCCGGGUAAGUUACGUUCUCGUUGGAUCGGUCCAUUCGUUGUAAUUAAUGUCUUUGAUUGUGGUGCAGUGGAGAUCCAGAGUUUAAGGACGGAGAAGAAAUUUGUAGUGAAUGGUCAUCGGCUCAAACCAUAUUAUGAUGGGGCUCCAGUUGAAUGGGUGGAGACGAUGCAUUUGGAGGACCCGAUUUGCUUGGUUUAAGCAAAUUAUGGGAUAUGUCUAGCCAAAGACACUAAAGAAAGGCGCUCUUUUGGGAGGCAACCCGAAUAUUGAUUUUAUUGUUUUUAGUUGUUUAUUUCUUUCGUUUUGUCAUUUCUCCGUUGGGUAGUAUCAAUGCUAAUAUCUCCUCCACUGUGACCAGGAAGUGAAAUCUUGGCGUGCCCACGCGGUGAUUGUGUCUCCUGAGGUCAGAGGACGAAGACCAAUCUUGGCGUGCCCACGCGGUGAUUGUGUCUCCUGAGGUCAGAGGAUAUUUUGUAAUCUUGGCAUGCCCACACGGUGUUCGAUGACCCAAAACACAAAAAAAAAAAAAUUAUUUAUCAUUAUUAUUAUUAUUACUUUCAUUAAAAGGAAAAAAAGAUUAUUUUCUUUUUCAACCCUAAAAUAUAUAUAUAUAUAAAUAAAUAAUUUUAAAAAAAAAUUUAAAGAAAAAGAAAAAAAAAAUUUAAAAGUAAUUUCCAAUUUGGACGAUUUACGUUGGAAUAAUUUUUUGAAAAGAAAAAAAAAAUUCCCUUUUCUCUUUUCUUCUUUUUCUUCUUUUCUUUCUUUCUUUCUUUCUUUCUUUCUUUCUUCUUCUUCUUCUCCGCUGCCCCUACUUUCCCCUUUUCCUUCGUUCGUCCGCCGCCGCCUCUAGCUCCCCUUCCAAAGCUAGCGGCCACCACCAUCAACUCUCCACCCUGCGCACGAAGCUCCGACCACCGCCUCCCUCACUCACCUCGCGCGCUCGCCGCCCUUCCUCAGCCGCGCCUCUCCCCGUUUCAAUCUCUCCCUCCUUGCGGCCGUCCACCACCGAACGCCGUAGGCGUGCUCACUCCACGCAGCUCGCCGCGCCCAAGCUCCACCAGCUCGCGCGCCUCCUCCUCAGUUCAGCUCGCGCGCCGCCACUGCCCACGGCAAGGUCCUCCAUCAAGCGACCUUGUCCUGGCCAGCCCUCCACUUGCGCGCUCCCGCCACCACCAGUCCGCCCAACCGCUGCAGUCUACAGCUAACUCCUCUUCCACAGCUCGGGCCUAACUCCACCUCGCGCGCGCGUCACUGGCUUGCCCAAGCGCCACCCGCAGCCGCUGACCUGUCGACCUCCAUUGGCACCACCAGCUCCACGGCCACGCACAUCUCCUCCAUUGCUGCUCAUCACCACCUGUCAAAAUUAACAGGUGGAUGUAUUGUGAUCCCUUCUCCGAUUAGCAUAAAUUACUGUAAUUUGUGUUUGGGUUUCUUGAUAGCUAAUAACAGGGGUGAUUUAGGCAUUUUCUAGGGUAAAUUUUGGACAGAGUUGGGUUUAAUUGCUGCCAUAGUGGGAAUAUUUUCUGCUAUUUAUUGAAUUGUUGGCCGUUUGAUUAACUCUUUCCUUGUGCAUUUACCAGUGGUACUGGCGAUGGUAGUUGUUUAACAUUUGUUAUUGCUGUGUUAUUGGUUGCCUAAUUGAUGGAAUUGUGAGUACUGGGCAUUCGUGAUUGGGUCAUUUCUAUUCAAUUGGAGAUAGUUGCUAAUUGCUAAUUUUGGCAAGUUGAAUUGGGUAAUUGACUGUCUAGUUGGAGACAGUUGUUGCUAUUUUGGGUUCAAUUGUGUCUAAUUUGCAGUAAUUUGUGCCAAAUUGUGGGUAUUUUGUUUGUUAAUUUGGGACUUAUUGAAGUUGGUUGCCUCUAAUUGCCUUGUCUGGGAGUGUUUUAUCGUUUUGGUUUCCUUUAUUCAGCUCUUUGGAGCAGUUGUUGCGAUGUUGGGCCUCGUUGGUUCUGCAAUUGGCUAAGCUUGGGACACAAGUGCUUAUUGAUAAAAUUUGCUGUGCCAUUAGGGUACCUUUACGGCCUUUGGGUGCCUUAGGUGUGCAUUUUAUUGUUUGGUUUGGCCGUGUGAUUUACUUCUUUUCUGCAUGUGAACCAGUGGUACUGGUUGUGGUGUUUGGCUUAUAAUUUAUUCAUCUUAUGUGCACCAGUGGUACUAGUUGUGUUAGUAAUCUCGGACUGCUUUGUUUCUACAUCUGACUGAAUUGGGGCCACCAGUGGUUAUUGCUUGCACUUGCUGUCUUGUUGGGGUAAUUUUUAUAGCCUGUGGGUGCUUGAAUUGUGCUUUCUAUUGAUUAGGUCACCUGCUAGCUACCAUGGUCAAACCACGGUCUUCCUCUUCUAGGUCUAGGACCCCUAGGACCCUCAGCCCCCUCCACCCCAGCACUCCAUUCCCGCCUCUGACCCCUCGCACGACCCUUCCUCCUCUGGGAGGAGGGCUCGUCUUGGGCGACAAAGAGGCGUCCAUAUCUCUGACCCUGCACAUUUUGGGAGUCAUUUGGACUUCACCAGGGCAGCCGACAAGCGGCGAUAUGCUGCGGCUUGUGAACGGCGGAUUAUUUCGCCGUUAUUGAGACGCCGCCACUUUGGACCUCCUAAAUAUUCGAGUUGAUUUUGACGAUUUGAUUGAAGCCAUUGGGUGGCUUCCCUAUUCUCGUAUUACUGACCGCCCGGCCUUUGUUGAGUUAGUUAGGAAAUUCUAUGCUACAUUUGAGUUUGACCUCCCCACAGGUUACGGAGUUUCUACCCCUAAUGUCAUCCGGUUUCGUUUAAUGGGUCAGGGGUUCCACCAUUCCAUUACUAACUUCAAUUUGGCUCUUGGUUUUAUUGAUCCAGCCUAUGCCGAGUCUCGUGAGUAUGCCGAGAGUGCAUGCGACUAUGUCCAGCCCUUUUUCUCCCGUUAUCGCCAUAUUUGGGAGGAGAUGUCCGUAGAUAGGGAUAACUAUGACCCUCGUCUAUCUAAGGGUUCUUAUCUAAAGGACCCGACGUCUCGCUAUAUCCACCGUUUUUUGGCUUAUAGUUUUUCGGGUAGGUGAGAUAGUUCGGGCAUUCUGUCUAAACCCGAAUUUUUCUUUAUAUGGUGCAUGCAUAACAAUAUUAAGGUUAACCUUGGGUGCUGGCUCGCUUCUCAGUUCAAAUCUAUUUUGCCUAAGAAGAAGCGCCCAUUGAUUCUUGGGUCAUACAUUACUCACUUGGCUAUUAAUUUGCAUGUCCUUGAUAUUUCUAACCAUGAUUUGCAUAUAGCCUGUCAAAUAGAGCCCUUGGAUAUCCCGUGUUUAGAGAAAAUGGGCUUAGUUCGGGAGGGCGACGACGGUUGGGAGGUUGUUCCCCCAGGGCCGCUACGCGCUCCUCCGAGGUCAUCUUUUGCCCGAGCUUCCACGGAUGGCGGCGACCUCGGCCCGUCUACCUCCGCACCGCCCCCUCCCGUAGGGCUGUCAACGGGCCGGGUCCGGGCCGAAAUUCAUUAUUCCGGACCCGGACCCGAAUUACUAUACCGGACCCGGAUCCGACCCGUUUACCCGACGGGUCUUGUAUUCUAUGUUCCGGAUCCGGAUCCGGCGGGUCCCGAAUCCGGGUCGGGUCUACCUGAACAAAUUUAGCCAAAUUUAUAAUUUCUAAUAAAAAUGAGAAAAAAAAAUAUUUGUAAACUAAUUUCUAACUAAUGCAAAGAAAAAAUCAAAUAAGAAAAGAAAUCAAAUUGACUUUACUCAAAUACAUCACCCUAAUCAAAUUAUAUUGAUAAAUAUAUAUUUUUUAAAUUAUUAAUUCAUUUAUAUCCGGAUCCGGGUCGGAAUACUAUAUUCCGUAUCCGACCCGUUUUGAUGCGGAUACGGGUGUGCAACAACUUCAACCUUGGGUCAAGGACCCUUUGAUCAACAUUGGUGGUCCGAUGACAAGAUCAAGAACCAAGAAGGUGAAGGAAGCUUUACGAGCCUUGAUCAUUCACCAUACAAGCAAGGAGCAAGUUAAGUUUGAAAAUUUGAUGGACCAUGAAGUUACUUUGUUCACUUGUACGUUUGAAGUAAAUGAGUGAUCUCAUACUUGUUAGCUUAGUUGGUAGUUGUUUUAAGACUGUCUAGUUUAGUAGUUGUUAGGCGUUGAAUAUUUUAUUACUUAUUGGGUCUUAUCGGAAAGCCUUAAAGAGCUAGCUCUUUAAGCUCUUUUAUGCGGACCGAAUCUCUUCCAGGUUUAUGUGGGCCGGAUUUUGCCCUAAUUUUAGCCUAUAAAAAGGCACCUCUUGUAAGAGUAAAAGACGGAGAUUAUUACAACCAGAAAUCGUGAGGAAUUUUCCUUCAAGUUCUUAACCGAACUUACUCUUGAAUUCUUGAGUUCAUAGCUUAGGAUUCAAAUCAGACUUUAUCGAUUAGCUUGUUCCCUAAUCGUGGUGUCGCUUCAUCCAUCCUUAUUUGCUUAAGGUUGCUGAUUACCUUUGUGUGUCAGAGGUCUUGAGUUCAUGAGAACAAUCGAGUUCAAUUUCUGUUGGGAGGAAAGAUCCAACUCUGAUAAUUACAAGGUUGGGAGGUUCUAGGAGGGUCUUCCCCUAGGGUUGCCUAUAUCAGUUGGUAAUCAGAGCAUCAGGUUAAUUCUCUUUUAAUUGAAGUUGUUCAUAUCUUGUUAGUUUGUGUCUUUUGUCAAAAAAAAAAAAAACUGUAGCGAUUACUGUUCAUCGUUACUAUUCCGAAUUACUGUUCGUCGUACUGUAGCGUACUGUUCAUGUUACUGUUCAUCCGAGUCAAAAAAAAAAAUUGUUUGGGUGUUGUCUUUUUUUGUGUUUUCUGUCCAAGUUCUUGGGUCUAUUAUACUUGUGUUUGGAUUGUUAGGGUUUAAAGAGAAAAAAAAAAAGAGUCACGUACCUUAUAUUGUUUAGUGAUCAAGUUGCUAGAGUAUUGCUGGAAUUUUCUUUUGAAUAUUGCUGAAAUUCUGUUUUGCCUAUUUCUUGAGAAUUGGUUGUUGUUUCUGCAAACCCUAGACACCGCAACAUAAUUUGGGAAAAUUCUUGUGUUUCUUGAACAAAUUCUUGAAGUUCUUGGACCACCAAGUCUUGUUUUGAAAAUUCUUGAACAAUAAACCAAGAACUAGGGUUUUCUUGGAAUUGGCAUAACCUUUCAUCCGUUUUUCUUGAACUUGUUGGUGUGAUCUGAAUUUGUGUUCCUUGAAGAGCCGAAAAAAAAAGGAAAAAAAAAAUGAAAGAGAAAAAAAAAAAGGAAGAAGAGAAGGAAUUGGCUCUCAUACAAAGGAAAUCAAGUUUCCAAAAAAAAUCGUGAGUUUCCAAUUCUUGGUGGGUUCCCAAAUCUUGGUUAAUCUCCAAAUCUUGGUUGAUUUCCCAAAACUUGAGUUUCCUAAUCUUGAUUGGUUUCCAACUCUUGAGUUCCAAUCUUGAUUGAAUUCCAAAGACCCCAAACGACCUCACCAGCCCCAAACACACCCAAUUCCGUUUUCAAAACCAAACAAAACACCUUAGCCCAAAUCGCCUUGGGAGUUCUUGAGUUUCUAAAAUCGGUUGAGCUAGUUUUGCGAUCCGAUUUGACUGAAAUUUGAGGACUGGUUCGUACAUUAUGUGAGCACCCCAAAAGCACCAUUUAUACUCCAAAAUACUGACCAGAAAUUCAGCAAAGCAACAGCUCAAAGAAAAAAAAAAGUUCCAGUUUCAGGUAGAGUUUUUUGUUUUUCUAGGAUUUACAAAAUUCUGCUUUGUGUCUUAUUACUUGCUUAUAGGGUAAUUAAUUCUGGAAUUUUUGAGAGUUUGAGUUGUUUUAAGAACUUCGAGAAGGAAAAUUGAGAGUGAGUGUGUUUUCUUGAGUGAUACACGAGUGCUUUGCAAGGUAGACUAGGAUACAUUUGUUUUGCAGGUUGGACAAUAUGUCUCAAGAAGGGAACAUGCCUGAGCCGUCUGAGACCGACGUGUCACUCAAACUGGUGCUCCAAACUCUUCAACAACAAGCGGAGAGACAUGAAUUUGCGAUGGCACAAAUAUCCGACAGGUUGGCUGCCAUUGAGAUGCAAGGUACUGGAGAUAUUCCCAAUAGGGCUUCAAGUGCUCAGAGUGUUGAGCAUGAUGCGGAUGACGAGAGGUAUCAUUCUAACACUUCAUUCCGAUCAAGGAAAAGCCACAGGGAAGCGAGGGAAGGCCGAGACCGACCUAGGAGAACCGAUGACAAUCUUGGUUCCAUCAAGACUAAGAUGCCUACCUUUCAUGGGAAAAAUGAUCCUGAAGCUUACUUGGAUUGGGUUAGGCGAGUUGAGCAAGUGUUUGAAGUCCACAAUUACUCCGAAGAGAAAAAGGUGAAACUUGCAGCUUUUGAAUUUCAAGAUUAUGCAUAUAUUUGGUGGGAGCAAGUAUGUGCCACAAGAAGGAGAAAUAGGGAACAACCGAUUGCCACUUGGACUGAAAUGAAGCAAGUGAUGAGGAAACGAUUUGUACCCCUCCAUUAUACCACGGACUUGUACAAUCGAGAGAACGAACAUAAACUCAAGCAAGAGAAUGAAUCUCUCAAGAGGAGGGGUUCCAUGCAAUCUACCUCUUUAAAGCCGGUUUAUGCAAGAGGUGAUAAGAAGGUUCAUUCAGCAUUUUCUAAGACUAAACUUAGAGUUGAACGACCUCAUGCGGAGUCAUUUUGGGAGACAUAUCAACGUCUUCUACACCAAAAACAAAUGGAGUCAAAUGGAUGCUAUCAAAGUGAGUUUUCUAAGAAGGAGAUAGCUGACCCUAUUCCCAACAAAGGAGUAUCUCAUCCUAUUGAACCAUUUGUUGAGGAGGUUGAUGAUGAGAAAACAAUCGAGGGCGUUAAACUAGAUAAAGAGAUGGAAAAAUCUGAUGAGAUGAGUGGUAAAAAGGAAGAAAAGAGAGAAAGUGAGACGAUUGUGAGCAAAAAUGUGAGGGCUUAUUGUUUUUCUAACGAACUUACCUUUGCUUUAUUUAGUGUUUCUUCAUUUGUGCAGAUUAAGCAAAGUCAAGUGAAGUUAGUCAUGCCAUGCUCCAUUCCAAAGUCACUUGUACAAUUCACUAGUUUCCAUGGAGUUUGUCUUUUAGGAAUUGAAUCUAUUUGGAAUCAUCUCAUGGAACAAUUUCAAUUCAAAUCUGUCCAUACCAAAGGGGAAUCACGUCAAAUCCACCAUGAAGGGAGAAUUCCGAAAUUUGACUCUCAUUUGCUACCUAUGGGUCAUUCAUCAUCUUUACCUUCUUUUGAGUAUAAUUUUCAUCCUAACACUUGUAUUUCUUAUCCAGAUUUUGAAGAAAAGUGUAAAAGGCUAGCAAUGCCUUCUCAAGUUGAAUCAAUUGGUGGAAGGAAUAAUGAAGUGGCAAAGGGAGUAUUCACAUUUAAAACUUGUUCUAUACCUUCUUACCAUUUAGUUGAUGAUGUACCAUUACUUCUUUACCCAAUUUCUAAUUUGUUUCAAGUUGAAGGUUAUUUUGUUUUUGUAGGUUGUAAAGUUGUCCAAAAUUUUUCAGUUUUGAUUAAAGACUUACAACCUGAUUUUGUGCUUAUUCCAACUAAAGGUGGUGAUCUUUCAUGCUUAUUCACACAGCCAAAAGCUGGUGGCCAAGUGCUCAAUUUGUCAGCUUCAACUUGUGCUAGUUCGAGUAACCCUCAUGAGGUGGAAUUCAAUUGUUUGCUACCUUAUAUGUUGGAAGAUGAGAAAUUGUGUGUCACGCAAGAUCCCAAAGCUGUCCUCCACGAGUUGUUUAGUGUCUCAUCCAUGCAACAAGUUGCUCCCAAUUUAUCCAUGCAAGAUGAUUCAAAUCAAUGUCAACUAGUGCUGGAUUUUACACCUUUGCACAAUCAAGGUGUCAAUGUGAAGCUUCAUGACCAAAGGCUAAUUAGAGAGUUUUGGAUUGCCACUUGGGAUUUUCACACGCCUUACACAAGCUCUUUCCUACCUUGGCGCAUGUCCUUGUUUGAGCGCUUCCCGAAGCUGACCAAACGACAUGCAACAUGGCUCGUAGUCAUUCGUCUACUUCCAACACUGUUGUCCUUUAAGCGCACCAUCGAUUUGCGGACAACUCACUUUCAAGAGGAGACUUUGAAGAUUCGAGGACGAAUCUUUUCGAGGAAAGAGGGAAUGAUGCGGAUACGGGUGUGCAACAACUUCAACCUUGGGUCAAGGACCCUUUGAUCAACAUUGGUGGUCCGAUGACAAGAUCAAGAACCAAGAAGGUGAAGGAAGCUUUACGAGCCUUGAUCAUUCACCAUACAAGCAAGGAGCAAGUUAAAUUUGAAGAUUUGAUGGACCAUGAAGUUACUUUGUUCACUUGUACGUUUGAAGUAAAGGAGUGAUCUCAUACUUGUUAGCUUAGUUGGUAGUUGUUUUAAGACUGUCCCGUUUAGUAGUUGUUAGGCGUUGAGUAUUUUAUUACUUAUUGGGCCUUAUCGGAAAGCCUUAAAGAGCUAGCUCUUUAAGCUCUUUUAUGCGGACCGAAUCUCUUCCAGGUUUAUGUGGGCCGGAUUUUGCCCUAGUUUUAGCCUAUAAAAAGGCACCUCUUGUAAGAGUAAAAGAGAGAUUAUUACAACCAGAAAUCGUGAGGAAUUUUCCUUCAAGUUCUUAAUCGAACUUACUCUUGAAUUCUUGAGUUCAUAGCUUAGGAUUCAAAUCAGACUUUAUCGAUUAGCUUGUUCCCUAAUCGUGGUGUCGCUUCAUCCAUCCUUAUUUGCUUAAGGUUGUUGAUUACCUUUGUGUGUCAGAGGUCUUGAGUUCAUGAGAACAAUCGAGUUCAAUUUCUGUUGGGAGGAAAGAUCCAACUCUGAUAAUUACAAGGUUGGGAGGUUCUAGGAGGGUCUUCCCCUAGGGUUGCCUAUAUCACGUUUUUUUGUUUGACAAAAUGGAUCUGGAUCCGGAUCCGGGAAACGGAAUUAAAUCCCUACCCAUACCCGCAAUAAUUUCACGGAUCCGGUCCGGAUCCGGAUCUAGACCCGACCCGUUGACAGGCCUACCUUCCCGCCCCAACGGCCGACGAUUGGAUCCAGCUUCGAAACACCGUUGAGAGACUGGAGACUCGCGUUACCCAUAUUGGCAUCAACUUGCAUAACAUGGUGCAAAAUCUGGCUGCAUUUAUGCAACAUGCGGGAAUUGCUCCUCAGUUCGCGCCCGAUCCACCCCUGUUUUGACGACUUCAGGGAAGUACCGUUGCCCUUCUCCUUCUUUUUUGCUGUUACAUUAUCACAUUGCGAGCAAUGUGUGACUUAGGUGUGGGGGGGGUCAAUUUAGGUGCUAGAUAUUUCCAGUUUUCGAUUUUUGGGUGUUUUCCCUUUGUUUUCUGUUUAGGUGUUGUUCCUUUGUUCUUUUCAGGUAAUUUUUUAUCUGGGUGAAUAUUUUGGCAGCUCUCUCUUUUAUUGCUAGUUGUAGUUUACACUAUGAAUUGAGUUUCAGUGGCAAGUAAGAGCUUGCUCUCCUGGUGAAUAUUUUGAGUUUAACGACUUGGUGCAGUUUAUGGCUAACUUGUUUAGGUAAUGUACAUAUUUUGCUGGCAUUGUUGUGUGGAUUGGUCUCCUGUUGACCUUAGUUCUCCAUAUUUAGGACAUGACGCAGGCUAUGAUCUUUAAUUACUUGUUAUUUUGGUGUUUUAUGGUGAAUAAUGUAUGGCUAUACUCUGCUAGUGUCGCCACCCAGCAACCGGGAGUCUGCACCACAAGUGUCGGCUCUCGCGUCAAAAAGUGGCGAUAUCUAUGAGUAAGUAGUCCUAGAGCUGUGAAAAGUUGAGUAACUGGGCUCUUGCAUCUAAAAAUAUCAGAGUUUACGUCAAAAAACUUGAAUAGCUUGGGACCAAGCAUUAUUCGUUCAUCCAAAAAAAAAAAGAGAAAAAAAAGAGAAAAAAAAGAGAAAAAAAAAGGAAGAAGAAAAAAAGAAAAAAAAAAGAUCAGAUGUGGAAAAUAUGUUGGUCUAUGAUCAUGUUGGUCCGCCGAUCCUUGGUUCUCAAUGUUGAGAUUUUGGUUGCCAGUUGACUUAAUUGCUGAUUGUGCUAGUUAAUAUUUGGAUUUCCUAGGCGAGUUAGCCAUGAAUUGGACGGGUCUAUGAAUUUAGGUGCUAACCGGGAGAGACAUGUCUUGACACUUAGCCACUAAAUCUUGAUUUUGGUAUAAGCACAGCUGGCAAUGUUAAUGUGAAAGCUAGCCAUUGUUGAGUUGAGUUGUCCCCAUACUUGAGGGCAAGCAUGAUUCAGGUGUGGGGGAAAUUGAUAGGGUAUCAUUUGUUAGUAAUUUUAUUAUUAAUUUUCCCUUUUAUCCCUGCCAAAUAUUGUGUUAAUUGUUGAUAUCUACUUAUAUUUGGUAUCUGGACUUAAUUUCAGGGAAUGAAGCAGAAAACUACCAAAAGGAGGGACUUUUGUAGAAAAUAGAGACUUCUAAGGGUUUCAAUCCUUGGGCCCUUGAAUUGGCGGGGACCACAAAGCUAUAGUCAUUUUGGGCUCUUCAAAGAAAGGAACGUACAGAGACUUGGAACAAAAAGUAAUUUGGAGGCUUUGUCCACAUGUGUGGGGACCACCGGAGAUAGCCUUUAGUCAUCUUUCUUUUGGCUUUGAUAGGGCAUAAUUUGUUGUUAAUUUCCCUUUUAUCCUUGCCAAAUAUUGUUUUAAUUAUUAAUAUUUACUUAUAUUUGGUAUUGGACCCAAUUUCAGGGAGUGAAGCAGAAAACUACAAAAAAGGAGGGACUUUCUGAAGAUAAUUGAGACUUCAAAUAAGCCACAGACCUGGCCCACAUGGUGAUAUACGCGGACUGCAUUUCUUUCUUACGGAUUAGGAGUAUCUUGGAGUGUUGAAGUGUUUGACUAUCAAGAGGAAACUAAAGAAAGAAGGACUUCAGAGAACUUCACUUUAUGUACACUCCUUUCUCAAUUUGUGCGGGAACCACGGAGAGAAGAAAGGCAUUAGUCAUUUGAAUUGAAAGGAAACAAACGUGCAUAGAGUUUGUUUUUGUUCCUUAUUCGUGGGGACCACUGGAUAGAUAGCUUUAGUCAUUUCCUUUUGGCUAUAUAAGAACAAUCGUAAGAAAGGCUAGGAGCUUUUAGCAUAGUUUUAGUUUUCUUUUCUUUCUUGGCUCUUUUGAUGGCCUGGACCUCAGUUAAAUUACUUGGAGAUUUUCUCAUGAGGCGUGUCUAAGUUUUUCUAGUCGAGGAACAACGGAGGACUUGGUUCUACUAAAUUUGUGAGAUCGAAUUAGUUUUUAUUUAUUUCCAUUAUUCACUGGUAUUCGUCUAUCUUCUGCUUUAUGUUCAUAUGGUUGUUUUAUUAUUCGAUUAUCCUGGGCCUGGAUUCUAGAUUAAUUCAAUAACCUGAAGCCAAUUAGGGUAGUUAAAUCCGUAAUUGUUUAAUUAUUCUAAACUGGUGGCAAUUGGCAUGAUUGGGUUUGUGUCAGGGAGAUAGACAGGCUAACUUAAAGAGACCCUCGUAGCGUGUUGAUUGGUUAGAAUUAGGCUCUUCUAAUUAUUCAUGCAAUUAGGGAAUUGAACUUCUAUGGUCGUACCUAGGGUUGUUUCCUGAUUAGAGAAAUAGUCAACGGUCGUACCUUGGCUAUCGACAAAUUGAGGAAGAGUUGGUUGUUUAUCGCGUGUAUGACAACUAUAACUAAUUUAUCAGAUAGUAACUGGAAUAAUCCUUGCAUCUGUGAUCGAAUUAAGUGAACCAUCUCCGAAGUUGUCUCUUGGCUAGAGUUCGUCUAUUAUUAUUUUUAUUGUGAUAAUUAGUUAUUUGAGUUGUAGUUAUUUUAUUUUAUUUUAAUUUAUUCCAAGUAAUUUAGUUACUCUCAUUUUCAAAAACCCCCCAUAUCUGGAACUUGAGAAGAAAUUAAAUUAUCCCCAAUCCCUGUGGAUUCGACCCUGCUUACCGCUAUAUACAGAAUUUGUAUUUUAUUUGAGCAGGUAUCUAUUAUUGCACAGGCUCGACACCUGUCAGGCUUUUUAAAGGGGAGAACGUAAGAAGCAAAAAGACACCUCUAGUUUUAGUUUUUUAGUUUAGUUUUUAGUUUUCUUUCUUUUGGCUGGCCUCUGACACACACCAGGUGUUCGACAAUAUUCCCCAACGGGAAAAACAUCUUUUAUUCCUUGCUUUUUAGUAAAAAAUGCAAUGCCUUUGCAAUCCAUUAAUUCGUGUGGUGAUUUAAUUAUGUGGCGUGGCUAAGCCUUCCAUCUAGUCAAGGGUCAACUCGAUGGUGCAGUGCCGAAAAUCUGUGAGAUCUAAUUAGUUUUCACACAUUUCUCAAUUUAUUAAUACUUGCACGUUGUCUGCUUGAAUUUUCAUGGAAUUAUUUUAUUAAUUGGAUAUCAAGGGCCCGAUGUUCAAUGUGAUUUAUUAAUCUCGUGCCAAUUUAGUCAAUUAAAUCCGUAAUUGUUUGAUUGAUUAAUAUUAGUGGCAACUGGUGUGUUUACACAUUAGGGGAACGUGCAAUCAAAUUUAAAUAACCCUCGUAGCGUGUUAUUGAUUAGAGCUAGGUUUUUCUAGUUAUUAAUGCAAUUGAAAAAUUAAUUCCUACGAUCGUACUUAGGAGUAUUUCCUAGUUAGGAGUGAUCAAUGGUCGUACCUUGGUCAUCUAUAAAUUAAGGAAAAAUUGGUCGUUAGAGUUCAUCGGCGACUAUAACUAGCCUAUUAAUAAAUUAAGUGGACCUCUCUUGCAUCAAUGAUCGGAUAAAUGGACAGUGUCUGAGUAGUUGUAUCAUUGGCUAGAAUUUAUUUAUUAUUGAUUUAAUUCCUGCUAUAUUUGUGCUAGUUAAUUAAUCAUUUUUAGUUAAAUUGUUUAAUUAUUUUUAGUUUCAUUGCGGUGAAAUCCCCCUUACCAAUUGGAAUUUAAGAGAGGCAAAUAUCCCCAGUCCCUGAGGAGACGACCCUACUUGCCACUGUCUACUAUUCAGUAAUUUUUGCCAACUAAUUAAUUCUGGUAUAUCGGAUUCAGCAAACUCUUCGGGAACAGGGUGAAUCAAGUAACCCAUUGCACACCUAGAGUCCCUGCUCCAGUACCUAGGAUUAAUUAUUGACUGUUUUUAGUGGUAUUUAGGUUUUUAUUAUUAUUAUUGCACAGGUUUGACGCCCUGUCAGUUUCAUGCACUGGAAGGGGAAAAAAAAACAAAGAUUGUCCUUACCCGUGGUGAUGCUUAGGGUCACGUUCACCAACAUGCACAUAAUAGAAAAGCUUCAUAUAAUUUAGUGUAUGUUUCACCAAUCUAAUGACUCCUUAGAUUACUUUUUUUAAGAUAAGGGGUAAGUGUGAUCAUCUGUUUACUAUCCUGCAUUUUAUUAACUUUGUAAUUGUUUUACACAGAUGAUGGAUACUAAUUCCCUCUAAUUAUUGUAGUGUUGCAGAAGUUUUGCGUGAUCCAUGUUUCAUUGAUGUAAAUUGAGGUCAAGUCAAUGAAGUAGCUCAUAUUUUGGCCACUUUACCAAAACAUUAACUCUGUUGAAUAUUUGUUGGAACUCUCCUCUUACUUUUAUUCAGCAAAAUUGUGUUGGACAAUUUUCAAUAAAUUUAGCAAUAAAAUUUUUAUUGUUAUCAGAAAAAUUCCCUCCAAUAGGCCAUAUAUUUGGGAAAAGUGCUACUAGGUGAUGGAGAUCCUUGUAUUUCCAUUGCCAUGUUUUUUUUUUGUGCAAAUCAAGGGGAGUAAGGACUUUUAUUCAACAAAAUCGUGUUGGACAAUUUCCAACAAAUUUAGCAAUAAAAUUUUUAUUUUUAUAAAAAAAAUUCCCUCUAAUGGGCCAUAUAUUUGGGAAAAGUAUUACUAGGUGAUGGAAAUCCUUGUAUUAUGUGCAAAAUAAAGGGAGUAGGGACUUUUAUUCAGCAAAAUCGUGCUGGACAAUUUCCAACAACUUUUGCAUUAAAACUUUUAUUGUUAUCAGAAAAAUUCCCUCCAAUAGGCCAUAUAUUUGGGAAAAGUGCUACUUGGUGAUGGAAAUACAUGUAUUUCCAUUGCUUUUUUUUCGUGCAAAAUAAGGGGAGUAGGGACUUUUAUUUAGAAAAAUCAUGCUAGCAACUUCCAACAAAUUUAGCAAUAAAAUUUUUAUUGUUAUCAGAAAAGAGCCCCCUCCGGCCUUUAUGAAUGGGAGAAAUUGAAGACUUAGGCAUCAAUUCUUCCCCCCUUUUCAAGCACCAGGUGUCGCUACACUCGCACCACAAGGGCCAAUCCAAGGCAAUUCAUUAACCCGGCAGAAGAUUACCUGAAUGCACUUUUUGGUGAUCUUGAAGAGAAGCAUUAAAACAAGUGCAUUGAGAAAUAUGUAUGAGAGUUUUAUUUCCUAACAUCCAUUAUUUUUCUUCUUCUCAUGAAUUUCCAGCUUGUGGACAAUUAGAUAGAGACAUUUUCUUGAUGAAUACUAAUUUUCUGCAGGUACAAUUGUUGAGAUGCCUUGAAUCAGAUCUUCGACCCUCGCUGAGCUGUUCAGGGGUCUCUAUUAAUUACCGUAUCUGUUUUAUUUCGGGUCUUGUUUUGGGCCUAUUUUUUGGGUCUAGUCUGUUUGGUUGUAUAUAUAUACACCUUAUUUUAGUCUGUAAACUAUUCCGAUUACAACCCUAAUAAAAUCUGAUUUCCCCCAAGUUGUUCUUGCCUGUUCUUGUUUUGUUCUUCUGUUCCGCUGCAUCUGGUAUAACAACAACUUUGACUUUGACAACGAAGAGCCGCUGCCUGGCUGUUAUGAGUGGGAGAAAUUGAAGCCUUAGGCAUCAAUUCGAGUUCCAUCAGUACCCACCUGGUUACCUUGCAGUGUCUUUGGGUCUUUAAUUUGGUCUAGGAAAAAUGUUACUAUGUGAUGGAAAUCCUUGUAUUUCCAUUGCCGUGUCUUUUAUGUACAAAAUAAAGGGACUAGGGUAGUGAAAAGCUUGUAGAUUAAUGAUCUGUAACAUGUUAGAGGAGAUCUUGUGACUUAUAGAAAUGUAGUUUUUCUUGAAUUGCACCAAUUUGCGAGUGCAGGAGUAGAGUUAUAAAUUGAUCUAGCUCUUUGUAGAAAUGUAGUUUAAUAUGCUUUUUCUCCAUUCACAAUUUGACUUCAGAGUCUAAUAUUCUGGAUGGUAUGACUACUAAAGUGAACGACUAAUUUGUCUACCAUACAUUUGGCAAUGAUUUUCUAGACUCAUUCUGAAAGAGAUUAAAUUAGACAACUUGAAAGCAAUAAGGUUUUGGAUUCAACUAUUAUCUGUGUCCAAAAGUGAGAUUAAUCUAGUGAGUUUCCUAUUUGCUAUGAAGCCAAAUGCUAAUUCUGAUUUGAGAUUUAUUUCAUAUUUUUCUGUUUGAUUUAUUUCAUUUGUUAUUGUGUUUAUUGGGUUACCAAGAACCCUAUUGUUCUUGUUAGUCAAUUUCUUGGGACCAGAUCUAACAAUGUCACUAGUGUUUAGUUCCAAUUGCCUGAGAAGAUAUAAAAGCCACAUUUUUUAAUAUAGAUGUUGAAAUGUUGAUGAAGGGCACUAAUACAAUCCAUGAAGAUAUUUCAUUAUUAAGUUGUGUGCCUUAAUUACCCCACUUUCAAAAUUUUAUCAAUUCCAAUCUCCAUUACACAAUCUUGAAAUGGUUAAAUCACUAACAUGAGCUGCCCCGGGCAAUUCUGCUGAGCCCUCGAUCUUACAUGACUCUCACCAAUGCUUGGCGUAAUUAUACGGAUCUCUCUUGAUAAUUCACGUCUUAGUAUUUGGCCAUAUCUUUUAACCUUAAUGAAGUGAUUUGUAAGUGAUUUGUAUGUCAGAUAAGUUUAUAGAAUAUGAUAUCAAAUUUGAGAAGAAAUUUGUUUUUUUUUUCAAAUGCAAAAAAAAAAAAAAAAGAUUCCUAAUGUACUUAAGCUUUUGGAGCAAUUAUCAUUAAACAAUAAUAACAAGAGACUAGAAGAAGCGUGCUUAUUGUCGUGUAUGGAUUGAUUUGGCAUGCAAAAUUGUAAUGCAUUUGGCUGACCUUGACAAAAGCUGAACUCUUAGGUGUUGUAACUAAUUUGGGACUAUAAAUUAGUUACUCAGUGACAUACUUGAAAGCGAAAGUGAAAGCUAAAGUUAAUUGAUUGAAUUUAUCAUAGUUCCAUCCUGUAUAAUUGAUAACCUUUCUUUCCUUUUUCUUUCUUUCAUUUGAAUUAUACUAUUAAAAGUAACUCUAAUUGAUAUGAUAGCAUGGUUGGUCACACAACUAGCAAGGAAGGGGGUAGGGUGAAAGAAGAGGGAGUGGCGGGAGAAGGAGGUGGGGAGAGGAAAGGAAGAGAAGGAAGGCCGGGAGAAGAAGGGGACAGAGGGAGAAGGAGGGUAAGGGAGAAAGGGGGAGGGAGGGUGUUUAGUUGAGGUGGGGACGACAACGGCAAAAGUAGAAAUGGUUAGAGAGGGUGGUGGUAGAAAAAGGAAAUAAGUGUGUCUUUUUGAAUAUUUUGGAGUAUUUUUUUUAAUAUAAAUUUUAGAGUGUUUAAACAAAUUACUGUAGGUGAAGUUGAAAAAAGAACUUUGUGUAAUUGAAACAAGUAAAAAAAAAACUCCUACCAAACAAACCCAAUGGUAUAUAAAUAAACCUCAAAAGAAAUUAUUAAUAAGACUAAGAAGAAAUGGAGAAAGAAAAAAAAAAGAUAAAAUUGAAAUAUUUAUACUAUGUAUGUAAUAUCUAAUCUUUGAUGCUUAAUGAGAAAUUGCUAUUAAAAUUAGCAUGUACUUCAAUUAUCUUUGAUAAAUGUACACUACCUUUUGAUUUCUCAUGAUGAUUAAAGAUAAAUAAUUUUUUUUUAUAAAAAAAAUAAAUGUUUAAUCAUAAAAGGAAUUUGACUAGCACUGGGAGUUGCAGUGAUGCUCACGGGACGGACUUCUGAAUCUAUCCGUUGCGGCUUCCGAGUCUGCUCAAACAAUUGGAUUCCACGAAGAGAAAAGUUCUGGGAACGUGCUUUGGUCACCAGACAGUGGGACGUGCACUGGGAGGAAAGGCUGGUGGCGCAGCAGCAGGUUGGGACAUUGGAGUCACUUCACAUCAUUGAAAAUGCUUCCUUUUCUCUCCGUUAUUGAAUCCCACCAUGAUGAGGUUAGGGAACUUCCUCCGAAAGCAGAAGUGCUGGCCUGGUCUUGUAGAACAGGGGUAGAGAUGUUUAGAUAUGGUGAUCACAUCCUGGGCAUUCAAGGUCAUCCUGAGUACACUAAAAUAUUCUUCUGCACUUGAUUAACCGGCUUCCGCAAUGCAAUCUCACUGAGGAAUCAUUUGCCGAUGAGGCUAAGUCUGACUUGGAUGCUCGUGAACCUGAUGAUAGGGAGACGUGGAAGAAGUUGUGCACCAGCUUUUACAAGGGUAGACUGUGAUGAGGAUUUGGUAGACUGUGACUGGAAUAAUUUGGGAAGUUAAGAGGAUCCACUAUCUAGGAUUUGGAUAGGGAAAUUUCUACAUGCACAUUCAUAUUAAUAGCCUGCAAAGAGACCAUAUGGAGCUCGCAUUAUAGGGAAAUUACUGGGUGGCCUUGCCCUCGUCACGCAGGGUUGCCCAUGAUUUGGUGACGGUUUGUCCUUUUUUUUGGCAUAUGUUUUAUGGUAAUAGGAAAAAUGUUAAGUGAUGAUGUUAGUUGGCUAGUAAUAAAGUUUAAUAAUAUUAGUAUCGAAAUAUUUAUUAAAUUGAAAAAUAUGUAUUAUGUAAUUCUCCACUACAGUAUGCUUAUUAAUAGAAAUUACUGAGAAAAAAAGGACACUAAAGAGAACUAAAAAAGAGGGAAAAAUGGAAAUAAUUGAAAAAAUCAAAGAUGAUGAUAUAGAACAAAAAAGAUGUUAUCAUUAUUAUACUAUUAAAAUGAAGAAAUAGAUAAAUAGAUAAAAAAAAAAUAGUAGCAACGAAUGCAUCUAAAGAACAUUAAAAAUGAAGCAAUCUUUUUAAUUAUUUCAUAAAUGAAAAAAGGAAAAAAAAUUGAGAUGCAGAAAAAUCUAAAUAGAAAGGGAUUUGGAGUGGAAUUGGCACUAAACUAUUUCACUAAAUUGAAACAAGAAAAGGAAAAAAUCUGAAAUGCAGAGAAAUAUGGAGUAAAUUAUAUAAAAUAAUUUUUUAAUUAUGCACUCUAUAUUCAAUUGUAAAUGAUUUAUUUUUUUGUGAGAAAUUGAGAGGAAUUUGGAGCAUGAUUAACACUAAAAUUGUUUAACUAAAUUGAAAGGAAAAAGGAAAAAAAUUCAAAAUUUAGAGAAAUUUGGAGUAAAAUCUAAGAGAUGAAUUUUUUUAAUCAUGUCAUGUUUAUUCAAUCGGAGUUCACCAUAUCCAAUACAAAAGAUAUCAUUAUUAUUAUUAUACUAUUAAAAUUAAGUAAUAAACAAAUAAUAUACAGAAAUAAGAAUAAGCGUCUAAUCAAGAGAUCCUUUAUUUUUCUUUUAAUGUAAAUAUAAAAUAUGUGGAAUAAAAUUUAUAAAUUUGGAACAAAUUUCAUGUUGGGAUUUUAUUGUGACAUUAUGGUUGUUCAAACACUAAAUUAGAUUUGAAUAAAGAAAGGAAGGAGAAAAGUGAGAGGUGUAAAAGGAAUUUCGAAGUAGGAUUUAUAUUGGCAUUGUUUUAUCACACAGCCAUUCAAACACUAAACUAAAUUUGAACACGGAAGGAAAAGAGGGAAAUCAAAGAUGGAAUCAAAUUUGAAGCAAACUUUAUCUUAGAAUUUUUUUACCAGACCAUGCCUAUAUUUAUUUUAGAAUCUUUUAUUAGACUAUGUUUAUAUUAAUAUAGAAUUGUCUCUGACCAUAUUUAUAUUAUUAAGAUAUAAACUAAUGUAGAGAAAUAGAGAACAAACAAUAAAUUGGACCUCUCACUUUCUGUGGAAUAAAUUGUUAUCAAACAAAAUGGUUUUCAAGGAAGCAAGCAGGAAAAAAUAAAUUCAACCUUGCAUUUUCUAUACGUAGCCAUUUCCAACUGUUAAACAUUAUUUUACUUUAUUUAAAAGUCAUUGUAACAGUUGGAGCUCAGCACAUUUAACACAAAAAAUAUUAGCAUAAUUAUUUUUCUUAGCAAUAAAGAACUAAAUAAAUGGUGCAUAAAAAUAGUAAUAGCUAAUGUAUCCAAAGAGUAUUAAAUAAAUGUCCAAUGAAGGAAGCUUCUAUUUAUUUCAUUAAUAGAGAGGAAUUUGGAGAAAAAUAUAUCUUGGGUUUUUUUUAUUAAAUUAUGUUCAUUAAUACCAAGCAUCUUUCAAUAAUAUAGAGAGAUUUGGAACAAAAUUUAUCAUAAAAAUUUUUGGUACACUGUGCUUAUUAAUACCCUCUAUUUUUUUUUGGUCAAGAAUGCAGACAAAAUUUGGAGAGGAUUUUUUGGUCAGGGUUGUAGAUGAAGUUUGGAGCGGAACUCAUACUAAAAUGUUAAUCAAAAUUUAUAAAUAUCCCUCAAAGAGAUAAAAAAAAAAAAGCAAAAUCAUUUUUUUCUUAGAAUCCAUUCGGGGCAAAAUUGAAUAAAUCAUAGCAAUGAAUUCGUGCAAAAAGUGUUAUAUAAGUGGCUACUAAAAGGACCUUUUUUUUUUUUGUGAUCAAGAAUGCAGACAAAAUUUGGAGCAGAUUUUUUGGUUGGGAUUGUAGAUGAAAUUUGGAGCAGAACUCAUACUAAAAUGUUAAUCUAAAUUUAUAACUAUCCCUCAAAGAGAAAAAGCAAGCAAAUCAUUUUUUUCUUAGAAUCCAUUCAGUUGCCUAUUAUUUGUUUGAGAGUUUUCCUUAUUUUUAUGUGUUUUGGGUUGGUAAGAAAAAUGUGAAGUGGUUAUAUUAUAUUUAUGAUGCUAAGGUUUUAUAGAAUUUGUGUGAUAUAGAAGCAUAAGUAUGUGCAUGAAAAGUUUGGGAGUGGAUGAAAUUUUAUGAUAAGGUAGUAUUAAUAUUGUGAUCGUUAAUUAUUGUAUGUUGGUAAUAGAUAGAAAUAGUGAAAAUAUUCAGCAUUAUUAAAUUUUUAAAGGAAGUGGAUCUUAGUCUUUAACAUUGUUGUAUUAAACAAAAAAUUUGCAAAUGGUAAGUUAACAACCUAUCAUUUUAUAUGGAUCAUUGGAAAAUUGAUGGUGGUAAAAAUGCAUUUUUAUUAGAUGAAAACAUAUAUAUUGUUAAUUAUAUUUAGUAUUUGUACCUCUGAGGAUUGGAAUAAUUUAAGCAUUAUAGUGGAUAGAUUUUUACAAGCUUGUCAUCAAAUAUAUACAUUCGCUAUUGGUUUUUGACCUAAGUGUGCUAUUAUAGUUAUAUAUCUUGGUUUAAUAGGAUGACAUUUGAGCAUUUUUUUUCCAUCCAUAAGUGAAAAUGUUAUUGUCAAUUUUGAUAUCUCAACUCUUAUGGUGGCACCGGUUCACAAUGAAGUCAUUCUCAGUUGGUGAAAUGUGUAUGCGUCUUCUAGGUGCAACUCCUGCAAUACCGAAGAGAUUGGUUUUAGUUUUUUUUCUUUUAAAUGCUAGCAAACUGCAUACGAAUUGAAGUAUGAACAUUACUAAAUAUUCCAUGUCCUAUGGUCUGAUAGUCAAGUAAAAUGAAAACUUUGUAAGCAAUCUUUGUCUUAGGGAAAAAAUGCUUACGAUUUUUUAAGGGAGAAUAAAAAUUAAGGAAGUUAUUUGUAGCUAGGUGUUAGCUGAGAGCACGAUCUCAGCUGAGAGCACGAUCUCAGGUAAGUUACCAUGUUCUUUUUCGAUGUCGGCAUGAAUUGGAGUAUAAAGUCAAGUAAAAUGAAAACUUUGUAAGCAAUCUUUCUCUUGGGGAAAAAAUGCCUACGAUUUUUUAAGGGAGAAUAAAAAAUAAGGAAGUUAUUUGUAGCUAGGUGUUAGCUGAGAGCAGGAACUCAGGUAGUUACCAUGUUCUUUUUCGAUGUCGGCAUGAAUUGGAGUUACACUCCAAUUCACAAAUUAUCUAAUUUUUUAAGCACUAUCUAACUUUUUUUUAAGAACUCAAACAAAUAGCAAAUAACAAUUAAAAUUUUAAAAAUGGUAUUAAAAUUUUUUUUCCAAUCAUUUAAAAUGUUCUUUACACAUUAUCCAUUUUUUUAAGAACUCAAAAGGAAAGCAAAUAACGUUUCUAUCAUUACACUGAAAUUGAACUAUGCAUAAAAACAGCAAUACCUAACUUUAGUAACGGGUCAAACAUAUGGUAAGAAAAAUUUCUCUCUAAUUAUUUAAGAUAUUGUUCAUGAAUUAUUGAAUUUUUUUAUGGACUAUCUAACUUUUCUUAAGAACUCAAACAGAUAACAAAUAAUGAUUAAGCUCAAAAAAAUGAUAUGAAAUUUUUUUCCAUUCAUUUAAAAUAUUCUUUACACGUUAUCCAUUUUUUUAAGCAUUAUUUGUUUUUUUUUAAUAACUCAAAAAGAUAGAAAAUGGCAAGGACGAUGAUUUUUUAUCCUAAUGGCUCAAAAAGAUAGUAUCAGUCCAAAAAACAGGCACCAUGUCUUUUUUUUUAUUAUUAGACUCAAGCCAUGGCAAAACUAAAACAAACUGUGUCUAAAAAACAUUACAAAUGAAUGAAUCUUUUUAAUUAAUUUUUCAAGAAUAGUAAGAGUUUGGAGUGGGAUUGGCACUAAAAUAUUUCACUAAAUUUAAACGAUAAAAAGAAAAUUCUGAAAUGUAGAGAAAUCUGAAUACGGAGGGAUUUGGAGUAGAAUUGGCACUAAAAUAUUUCACCAAAUUUAAAUGAAAAAGGAAAAUAUGUAAAAUGCAGAGAAAUGUGGAGCAAAAUAUACAAAAUAAUUUUUAAGAUAUUUUUGUGAGGGAUAAAGAGAAAUUUGGAGCAUAAUUGACACUAAAAUGUUUAACUAAAUUCAAAGGAAAAAAAAUUGAAAUCUAAAGAAAUAUGGAUUAAAAUCUAUGAGAUGAUUUUUUUUAAUCAUGGAUCAUCUCUAUUGAAUUGGAGCUCACCAUAUCCAAUAUAAAAAAUAUUAUUAUUAUUAUACUAUUAAAAUUAAGUAAUAAACAAAUAAUGUACACAAACAAUAACAGUAGAUUUGUCUAGAAAACAUUUUAAUAACGUCGCACCUCAAUUAUUUUGUAAUAAUAAUGGACGACAGCCUGGACCGCUGACAAUUUAUUACAGACAACCAGACCAAUCCAAUAGUAAUUAAUACUCUAGAGCGAGCGAGCGAGCGAGCCUCUGUCUGUGCCACUAUAUACUAGUUUACUGCCAUGGGGUCUUCGGGAAGUUUGGCUGAUGAUCAAUGAUCAUACUACCGUUGUUCUUUUAUUGUU